rnacentral:lncRNA from 1 species
AACAACAUUCUGGUCUUCCCCCCAACACAAACUUGAUCAUAUUAAUUUUGGGAAUACAUCCUUUUUGACAUGUCGAUGGAUUGCUCCUGAGCCCGUCGACCACACCCUCAUCUUUCCCUGCUAAAAUUGUAUGACUUGUUUUCUAAGUUCUUUCUGAUGGAUCCUUGGUGUACCCGAAGUCCGACCUUUGCUUAAAGACCAUGUCAACGCUAUCUCGAAGCAUGUAUGUGGUACUCCGAUCUUCAAUAAGAACAUUUGAACCACAAUGCUAAAAUUUCUUUAUUAAUUACCCCAAACACCGUUGUAUGGGUAAUGUCAUGAUAUCUCUCUCCCCUUUUCUAAAGGGUUUUCUACGUCAUAUCUUGUCAUGGAUAUCAUGCUCUGCUUGCUCUUGGGAAGGAUAUACCCUUGAAAUAUGUGUUUAAACACAUUUUCCUUUCCAUUGUUCUGUUUAAUCUGAUAAUCACAUUUUCCUUUCCAUUCUUUUGUUUAACCUUUCCACUAAACUAACUUAUCUCAGUAGAGAUAAUUUCCUGCUUAGGUAAGCACCUCAAUGUACAACUCUGUCAGUAAAGACCAUUUUACUAUUAUUGAUGACAUUCCGGUAACCGCCGAUGGAUGAGAACUUUGCCUAAUGGUCCGCCUCAUUCCAACGAGCAGGAAAGUGGUUCUCUUCGUCCCUCGCCUUUGGUACCAACAUUGUUGCCAACAUAACUAACAGGUUAUUCUCUAACAUGCCUUUCUAUCAUGACCGCGCAAGAUGUCACCGCUCCUUCUAUUUUAACCCACAUGGUGGGCCCAUAACCCAUAGUUCCAUAGGAUCGGAACCUGACUCUCCUGUAUAUCCUUUAUUCCGAAGUAUCAUUUGCUCUUGGCUUUGUGUGUUGUCACGAGACACCGUCCAAGAGAUGAUCUAUUCCCGAUGCUCUGGACCCCUUUCUCACACUCUGUUCGGGUAUCAAUCGUUUGUCUAUCCGUUUGAUCCUUCCUGUUGCACCUUCAUACAUGCUCUCGAGGUCUUAUUAAGUUUCAACUCGAGAGAUACUUCUGCCACAUUCCCUGAAUUGUUCACCAGAUAAUUAACCCUAUAAGGGUCAGUUCUCCCGAACUUACUUUUUACUUCCGCACUUAAAUCUCAGGCCGAGAUUUCUUGUAGUGGAGGAGAUUUGUAACACCCCCAGUGUCAUGCUACAGUAACCCUCUGUGAUUAAACUAAUCAUUUUUCCAAACAGUGCUUCAUCACCUUUGAUCAAUAUCCCAUUGAAAUUCCAGUCAAUUCAAAUUCAAGUGAAGUUUGAAGUUGCUCAAAAGUUGCUGGAAAAAUUUUCAUCAUUUGUCAAAAAAUCCAUAACAAUUAUUUGUUAAGGAAGACAACAUCACUUUUGUGCAAAGAUGAGCAUUAGCAAUUAUAACAGCACCAAUUCAGCAUUUUUAAAUGCUAUCCUAUUUAUGAAAAAUACCAAAUGAAUUCUUCUGGUCUCCAAAAUAUUUGUGGCACUGUCUAUAAUCACCAGGGAUUUAAUGCGACACAUCCCACAUUUUUCUUAAGUGAAACAGUUGACCAAAUAAUUCCCUUUCUCUCUCUGUUAAUAAAUUAAGGCAGAAUAUAAAAAUAUAAAAAGGCCUACCUGGCCUCUGGCCUAAGACCCAGCGCGGCCCAGCCCACCAGGUGCCCCUGUCUCCCUCCUCUGUUCACACGGGUGCCGUGGAUGCCGUGCGGCCGCACAUGGCCGGGAUGGCCACGUGUCGGCCAUCCGCUGCCAUCCCGCGCGGAUAAGGUCGCCAGCGACGCCCCUGCCAACCCUAGAUCGCCUACUUCCCCUUCGCGCCCCCUCCCUGGUCCUCUCCGCCUCACCCCCCUCACGAGGUCCCUCCUCCCGUGCGCACCCAUGGCCGCGGCACCGUGCUGACUGCAGCCACCGCUGUCCCCGCCCCUCUCUGACGAGUCCCCGAGCGCCGUCGUGCCCGGCUACGUCUUCUCCGACAACGGACUAGAGCUCGUCGCCCCUACAGUGCCCACCCCGUCGUCGUCUUCUUUCUCGGCUCACCGUCGUCUUCUUCAACGACGGUUCCCACUACAGCUCCUAAACCCACCGUCGGGCCCUCGUGCGCCCUCUCGGUGAGCUCGCCCUCCUCUUACCUCUCUCACGUAUGCCGCCUCCCUCUCAAGCUUGCUCACCACGGCUGCUGAAGCUCGGCCCCACCGCCGAGCCCCUUGUCGUUGCUACUGACGUCGUCAAGCUCAACCGAGCCCCGUGUCACGCUCAUGGCCUCAUGGCGGAGCCGCCCGUGCCCUUACUUUGUCUUGCCACACCCCACAACGUCGACUCCAUCGAGCACCCGAAGCCGCCGCCGCUGCCGUCGACGAGGAGCUCACUUCCGGCCAUCCCCGGGCGAGCCACCACAACCCCCUCAACGCGCCUCGACACGCUCGCCUGUUCGGCCCCUAACACGCAGCAAACAGAGCCCCGUUGCACAAUCCCCAUCCAUGCCCGAACCCCGCCGGCGCCUCCACUCAUCGUCGGCGCAGUUUCGGCCAGCCGCAAGCCCAACCGACCUCACCACGCGACGCGGCGAGCUCUCCUCGUUCGAAUGCGCCAAGUCCCGCACCUAAAGACCCCCUGUGGCGUGAUUCCGGCGAAGUCCGGCGAGCCCCGCCGCUGUUUUGGUCGCCGACGGUGAAACCCCGACGCCACUGACGUGGCGCAACCGGGCCCUACCCUUGGGUCACUGCCAGUGGGCCAUGGGGGCCCCAUUGACUGGGUUGACCAAGUCAACGUGCUGACUGGGCAGCCCAGUGGCACUGACAUGCGGGCCCCACCACGUAAUUAAACUAAUGAAAAUAUUUUUAUAAAUAAAACUAAUUAGUUAACCUAAUCAGUCACUGACAUGUGGGGCCCUACUACUAAUUAACUCUGUUUAAUUAAAAUAACCCACUAUUAGCCCUCUGUGUAUGACAUGUGGGACCCACUGGUCAGUUUGACCUGGUCAGCCGUCCUGUUGACUGCUGACGUCACAGUGAUGUCAUGUUGACGUUGUAAUUCUUUUUUGUUAAUAAUAAUAAUUCCAGAAAAUACUUUAAUCUUUAGAAAUUCAUAGAAAAUAAACCGUAACUCCGAUGAAAAUGUUUUCUAUAUGAAAGUUGCUCAAAACAAUCCCUCGAAUCUGAAUACACGGUCCAUUCACCUAGCAUGCUGAACAUGGAACCGUUCCCUCUCUUUCGUCUAUCCGGAAAAAGCCAGACGCUGGGAAAACCCCUCCGGAUGUUUUCCCUCUCCGUCUGCAACAUGUAGUACUACGUUAGAGCACUCCUAGCGUAGCUUACUGCCUUGUCGGCCUUUCUGUUGCAUUUGUAUGCUUGCUAUUUAUUGCUUCUUCCCCCUCUUCUCUCCGGUAGACCCCGAGAACGAUGCUGAUGCCCUUGGAUCGACUACGUCGACGACGACACUUCUUCCUUUUCAACAGAGCUUCCAGGCAAGCAAACCCCCCCUUGAGCAUUCCGAUAUCGCCCAUUUCUUUCCCUCUCAUGCUUCCAUUAGAACUGCUACUGCUUUAUGUAUGAUCCUAUUCUCAUGCAUAGCUUGUUGUUAUUACCUUCUUAUAUACCUUACCUGCUUAUCCUAAACUGCUUAGUAUAGUUUGGUUAGAGAUCCAUUAGUGACCCCACCUUGUCCCAGUUGCCUCGCUUUAUGUUCAAUGACUCGAUCAACGUGAUUGACGUCCAGGCCCCGACACCGCAUGUCACCCCCCUAGUUGUACGACUCUGCAGAGUUACCAUCGAGUGCCUAGGGUGGAACCUCUUACCUCACUCCUGAUGAGAUCUUUGUAGUGUAGCUAUAUGGUCAAGGUCAUCGAGGGUGAUUUCCUCCUUAACCACUUCCGUUGCGGCUCUAUCGUGCAGCCCAUCAAAUGUGAACCUCGAGGGUGGAUCCUCUUACAUUCACCUUGUUGAUAACAUCGAGUGGGAUUCACCGGGGGUGAUUCCUUGGGUUUUCCCCUUGGUGUUAGACACACAGUUACUAUGGUUACUUUUACUUUGCACUGAGCCAUGUUACUAAAGACGGGUCGGCCCUGAGGGGUACCCACGCGAGCUUAAUAGCGAGUGAUGUGGAGUCGGGCUGACCUGGAACGUGCCCAUGAGAUACUACGAGGCGUGGCCGGGCAUUAUUAGCCCUUGCCGCAAGUACUCGAGACGGGGCGAUGGGGUCACAUCGAUCGUGAGUCUCUGCUCAUUACCGUGUGCUCCUAAUCCACUACUAUUUGGAUAUUUCAUCCGAGGGGCCUUUGGCAUGAUAGCACUAAACAUCACGUGGGCAUAGUAUGGGCGUUCUGCGUCGUAUGCAUCGGCCGAAGCUUAAUCGACAUCAGCGACAGAGCGGCGCGCACCGGGUUGGACUGCGUAAGCUCCUGCCUUGGUGAAGGAGGUAGCUAGGUCUGCUCACCGGCCGCGUACGCAAUGUGCAGGAGUUCCCGGGGAGAUGGCCCAUGACCCCUGGGGGCAUAGGUUUAGUUCGGCGUGCUGACCUCUCUAUUAAGCCUAGGUCGGGUUGUGGCGUAUUGUUUGGCCGAGGCCAGGCAUGACCCAGGAAAGUGUGUCCGGCCGGAGUUAAUCGAGCAUGGUGGGUAAGUUGGUGCACCCCUGCAGGGAAGAAAACAUCUAUCGAUAGCCUGUCCUAUGGUAACGGACACUUGGAGUUGUAUCCUGAUCGAUACAACUAGAACUGGAUACUUGUGAUGAGAACUGGAUGGUGAUGAGAACUGGAUUGUGAUGAGAAAUGGAUAGUAUGGCUCUGGGAUUGCUUUCUCGCUGGGAGUCGAGAAUGGAUCUCUGGCCGAGGUUGAUAACACUACUACUACUUUACAUUAUGUUGAUCUGUACUCUUCUAAAUGCUGCAAGAUGCUUGAAGAUGCUAGUCUUCGAUAGGCUAGGCUUUCCCCUUUCUCUUCUGGCAUUCUGUAGUUUAGUCCACAGAUAUGAACCAUUCCUUUGAUACAGAUGCAUACUUAGUUUAGUUCUGAUGUAAGUCUUGCGAGUACUUUGGAUGAGUACUCACGGCCGCUUUGCUACCUCUUUUUCCCCCAUACCCGAUUGUUGCGACCAGAUGGUGGAGCCCAUGAUCCAGACGACACCACCGAUGACUCCUACUACCCCGAGGGUGCCUACUACUAAGUGGAGACUGCCGAUGACCAGGAGUAGUUAGGAGGCUCCCAGGCAAGAGGCCUUGCCUCUUCGAUCGUGUUGCUUUGUGCUAGCCUUCUUAAGGCAAACUUGUCUAACUUAUGUUUGUACUCAGAUAUUGUUGCUUCCGCUGACUCUUGUGUAUUCGAGCUUAUGUAUUCGAGCUCUCGAGGCCCCUGGCUUGUAAUAUAAAGCUUGUAUUAUUUUAAUUUGUGUCUAGAGUUGUGUUGUGAUAUCUUCCCGUGAGUCCUUGAUCUUGAUCAUACACAUUUGCGUGUAUGAUUAGUGUACGAUUGAAUCGAGGGCGUCACAAGUUGGUAUCAGAGCCGACUGCCUAUAGGAAUCCCCCUUCCAAAUUCCUUGGUCGAAGUUGAGUCUAGUCACUGAAAAACUUUUACUAACAUGGUUGUGUGCCUUACGGGCCCACGUUGCCAUUUGGGUGGUAUUAGGAUCUUUUACUCCCCGUCUAUACUCUGGGACUCUAAUCUCUCUUCUAUUCGGGUUAAAUGGUUUUACUAACUCGAACAUUAGGAUCUCGUGAUCACAUUCGCCCGGAGAGCCCCUUAUUUCAGAUGAUUGCCUGCUGCAUCAGAAGAUUCCGAAGAUACUCGAUGAUUUUCUCUCGAGACUUUGUGCCUAUUGCCUUUGCAAUUCCCUACCACUGAAAUAUCCUUAUGGAUAACUACACACACUUACCAAUCUUACAUUCUAUCCCAUUGAUCUUGUUAUUACAAGAUGCCCUGAACUGCUCUCCUUUCCCGAGAAUCCUUUGAGCUGACUGCCUUGCAGUUCCUUGUCAUCUGAAUACCCCUACGGAUAACUUUGUGCACCUAUCGAGUAUCCGCUCAUCCUCAGUUGAUUCUUGUACUUCACAAAAGUCUUUGUAAUACCAUUCAUUCUUGUAAAAAUCCUCAACAACCUAUUGUUCUUGAAUUUCCUGCUUGCUUGCAUUAUGGUUAAUACCAUAAGUCUAGUAAUCUUAUUGUCAGCCUUUGUCAUUAUCAUUUUGAGUCCGUUGAUACAGUAUGUUGCGAAUGCUCGCAACCCUCAAUCAGGUCCUAGAAUUCAUCCUUCCGGUUCAGACGUGAUUUUAACAUGAAUCUUGAUCAAUCAAAUCGCCAUCGAUUGUACCCCUAAGGCUAUUCUACCUAUCCAUCCCUAAUCAGAGCAUUGCUUCUGAUCCCUUGUCAUGGAAUUCAUAAUUCCUUUGCAAUUGAGCUUUGAGUUAGUCAAUUGUUUCUAUAAUCUGGUCUCCUUGCAUUCUUUCUUCCUCUGGUUGGAUAUUGAUGCUCACAUCAGAUCCCUUGUGGACCACCAGACCCCCCCCCCUUUUCGGAUUUUAUCCGACAACGUCCUUCAUAUUCGAUAAGCUUGUAAGCCUUUCCUCAGAUACAUAAUGCUUUUGGUAAAUUGUAUCCUCCGCUUUCUCAAGCAUGCUCUACUACCAAGGACACAUAUUUGAUUUUUCAACCAAUUUAUAUGCACUGGAGCAUGUGCUUGUAUUUCAAAUUUGAAUUAUGCACAUAAAAUGCCUAGAAAACCCACUUAAUGUAUAAAAAUGUCCAAACGAACCCCGAAAAAUUCCGAAAAUUAACUCAACACUCCUGUUGUUCUAUGUUGACACUAGAAUUUUUUUGAAAGCAAUAAGAGGCAAUGGAUAUCAUUUCGUCGCCAAAGGUGGCACGUUCCCUACCGAAACCACUAGGCUUGUUGAGAAGCUCUGGUUUGCGAGAAGCUUAUACCCAAACCUGCCCCAAAUGGGACAAAAAAUUUACCAUGGCAUGUUGAUGCCGCUCCAUGAUACCAUGCCAAGUUUCAUGAAUUUCAGACGAGUUUUGGAUUUACUAGAAUUUAAAAACCAGAUAUCUCGAUGUUUUGCCGGCAAUCAACAGUGCCCUGGUGUUUGAAAUUCAUUCCCGUCUCUUGGAUGGGACCUAAGCAUGCACCCAAGGACACAUAUUUGAUUUUUCAACCAAUUUAUAUGCAUUGGAGCAUGUGCAUGUAUUUCAAAUUUGAAUUAUGCACAUAAAAUGCCUAGAAAACCCAGUUAAUGUAUAAAAAUGUCCAAACAAACCCCCAAAAAAAUCCAAAACUUAACACACCACUCCUAUUGUUCUAUGUUGAUGCUAGAAUUUUUUUUGAAAGCAAUAAGAGGCAAUGGAUAUUGUUUCAUCCCCAAAGGUGUCGUGGUGUUCAAAAUUCAUUCCCAUUUCUUGCAUGGGACAUAAGCAUAAACCCAUGGACAUAAGCAGAUAAAAGGUCUAGCAAUUCAAACACCGUCCAUUGCCGUUCUGACCCCAUUAUGUAAUUCAAAUCAAGAUGGAAAAUCAAGUAGAUCCCACACAGUUUAUUAUCACCAACUGUGUGAGAUGUAGUACAAAAUAUCCUGGAGCACCGUUGGUGUAUAGUAAGCCUAUGGCUUACGCGAGAAGGUGUGUCGGCUACAGUCCACAAUAUUACUACCUCAUAAUCUUGAAAAUAUCUACCGCGUGGAAGGUUUUGAUGUUUGAUAGCACACGAUUAGUAUGUGCAGACUGUGUGCAAUGUCUGAUACUCCCGCUCUGCUUUAGUCCCUUGAUUCAAAUUUUCAGUAGCCCCGACAUUUUACUCCCGCCUCUGCAUCCCUUGCAAUCUCAAAAAUAUCUGCUCGCCCUUGAUCCAAAUUUUCAGUAGCCCUGCCUUGUUACUGCCGCCUAGUAAAAUUUUCAGUUGCCACAGUAUUUCCUCAAACACAACCUUGCCCCCCUCCAAACACACCACACACUCCCCAAAACCUCCGCUCAUACAGACACACACUGCAAGUGCAUCUAGUGUCCCUUAGUGAUUUUGGUGUAUUGAAGACUUAUAGGUUAAGGGACUAAUGCGUUUGUGAGUGUACACAGGUCUAUAAGUCUAUGAGGAGUUUGAUAUUUACAGGAAAAGUCGACCCCUAAAAAUGAAUAUCUUCGACUGAAGAUUUUGGUAUUUCUGAAGACUUUCAUCAAGACUUUGAAAGUGAAGAAAUUGGUGUGUCCGUGAAGACUUGAUAUUCAUGCGAGGAAUAUGAAGCUUGAAGACUUUCGUUUUCAUAGUUUUGUUUUUCUCUUUCUUGAGUCAUAGGAAACACCGUACUGUUAAAGGGGGUCGAGAAAAUACUAAGGAAAAAUUUCCAUGUGAUGCUCAACUCAAAAACCUACAUCUACCAAUCCCUUCGAGUGAAGCCAUUGGAAAUCUCAUACAGUUCAGUCAAUUUCUUCAGUGACAGAGACGAAGUUCUUCUGGUCUCUAAGGAAUUUGUCCUGACUGAGGAGUUAGGAAUUCACCAGUGCGGAUUGCCUACACAGUGAGGAACAUGAUAGCCCUGAGGAUUUUACUACUCAAAAUUCUGACCGUUGUUGUGCUAUGCGCCAGCUGUCCCAAAAUAUCGAUCCACCUAACGGUCAUAUCAUUGAAGGGCAUUUAUGUCUUAUCAUGUUAGGCUACUCCCUAGGCUAUAAAUAGCCGCCCCCUACAACCACUAGCUGGUUGGCUGCUCUGAGAGAAACUGACACUUGUCAUUUGAGAGCAACCCAUCCUCCAAGGACUUUGAGCGAAAAUCAUCAAGUGAGGAAAAACCAAAAACCCAAAACCCAAACACCUACAAACCCCAAGUGAUUGAGCAUCACUAAAGAGAUUGAUCCUGAGUGGAUCCAACGCUUGUUACCUUUGAAGACUGUGCUUCUUCCAGACGGUUAGGCGUCAUGGUCUAGAGCAUCCAAGAGGAAUUGUGGAUCGCCGAGUGACCAAGUUUGUGAAGGUUUGGAAGUCGCCUAAAGACUUACCACGAGUGAUUGGACGAGGUCUGUGUGACCUUAGUUCAAGGAGAAUAUGGUGAGGACUGGGUGUCUUGGACUAAGUGUCCUUGACUGGGUGUCCGGGAUUGUGUGUCCUCGAGUUUAAAUACUCAGCCGCUCCAACCAGACGUACAACUGAGACAGCAGUUGGAAUUGGUCUACCAAAUCAUUGUCUUCAUCAAGCUUACUGGUUCUAUUUCCUUAACUCUUUCAUUUCCUCAUAACUGUGUUGUGUGCUUGUUCAUAUCUGUGUUUGAAGACCUUGACUGAAGACUUUCUCAAUUUCCUCAGUUCAAUUUCUUCAGUCUGUUUGUCUUCAUCCUGUGUUAUCCUGUGAUUACGCUUCCUGUACUCUGUGCCUGUCUUCAUUUCAUCAUGAUGACUAUGCUUGUAUUCUGUUAUGUUUACUUUUGAGUACUUAUUCCGCUGCUAGUAGUUCUUCGCUAAGGAAUUUCCUCACCUGCAAAUUCCUCAGUGAAGAAUUUCAUAAAAAUCACCUAUUCACCCCCUAGUCGAUAUAACGCACUUUCAAUUGGUAUCAGAGAAAGGUACUCCCUUGUUCUGUGUGAUUUUGGUUUAACCGCCUGGAGUUUUAGUUAUGUCGACCGCAGGUAUGACGAAGGUGACAUGCCCCAUCUUUGAUGGUCACGAGUAUCCCAAGUGGAAGGCCAUGAUGAAGAAACGCCUCAUGGCGAUGAACAGCGAGUUUUGGACCGUCACUGAAAUUGGCCUGACUGAUCUGUGCAAGAUGGCAGAUGCUGAUGACAUUCGCAAGUAUACUCUUAUCAACCUCACGGCGAAGGAUGUCAUCUGCUCCAGUCUAUCACAAAACCAGUUCAGGAAUACCAUGCAUCUCGAUCAUGCGAAGCUCAUCUGGGACCGUCUCUCUGAGGUCUAUGAAGGUCAUCGAACCUGUCAUGAUCCUUGGUUUGAGGACUUCAAGGAAUCUCUCAAAACGAUGACAUUCGAACCAGAAUCAUCAUCUUCUGCAUCAUGCCUUAUGGCAAAAGAUGCUGAGGUAACUGAAUGCAACCUAUCCGAGUCCAGUGAUGAUGAAUCUGGUGAUGAAUUUGGACCUAGCUAUGUCAAACUUGCUUCCCUUGCUACUAAACAACAAAGAGCUUUAGAAAAAGCUCACUAUAUGCUAAACAAGAGCGAUGAUAUGUUGGGUGAGGAAAUGGAUCAGUCAAAAGCUUUGGCUGAAAGUCUUCAGAGACUUCAUACUAAGUAUGACACCCUUCAAGAUCAACAUAACACUCUCUUGUCCGAUCAUGAGAAGCUUUCUUAUGAAUUUCUUCAAAGAAAGCAAGAUCUUGAAAAGCUAAGAGUGAGUUAUGAAGAUCUUCAGAAGGAGCGCGAUUCAUUACUUGCUCAACAAAUCAGCGCUUCUCAGGAAGAAUUUGUUCCACCAUGCUUGAAGUGCAUUGAACGUGAAUCUGCUAAUUCUUCACCUGAAUGUUCAAAUGUUGCUAAUGUUUCAAAUUCUUCACAUGCCUCUGCUAUCACUAAUUCCUCAUCUGAGGACAUUGCUAGUAUCACUGACAAUGCAGGGCUGAAGGAAUUGUACACGACAGGCAUGUACAAAAGCCUCAAAGGGCAUCAGGAUCUUUGUGAUGUGCUUAAAAAGCAGAUCCACAACAGGAACCCUAGGAAAGAGGGUAUCGUCUUUGAGAGGAAACUCAAUGCUGAUGGUACAUAUUGGAAGCCUGAGCAGUACCCCAAAACUACAUGGGUUGCUGCAAAGGGACCUCCAGUUGAUCCAUCUAACUUAUCUGGAUUUGCAUGUGAAUCUCCUCAUUCUGAUGAUGAGUUAGUUGACUCCAACUAUAAGCUAUUCAAAAAUCAGAAUGGUGAAGUAUUUGCUAGAUAUGUUGGCACUAACUGCAGGAACGGCUCCCCUAUGAAGAAAAUCUGGGUUCCUAAAAGAUGUCUUGAAAAUCUUCAGGUGAAUGUCAUCAUGACGCCACCUGUGAAGAAUAGGAACCCCAGAUCGAAUUCUUCAUAUGGACCAAAUUCCUCAUAUGGAGCAAAGUCCUCAUAUGAAUAUCAUUGUGCUAACCCGUCUGUUUCGCAGGGAAGAUCUAAGGAUUAUGGAUAUAUGCAUUAUUCUUCAAAUCAUUAUGUGAAACGAAAUGGACUGGCUUAUAUGUCCAUAAGUCCUCGAAGAAUUUCUCUGCAUACUCUUAUGCUUACUCUAACCCCUCUUAUGUGAAACGAAAUGGACUGGCUUCUAUGCCAUCCUUCUCGUAUGGAGCUCGCAGAAUGAUGAGCUCUUUGCCCCCCCCCCUUCCGAUGUGGGUGGUGAAGAAAAAGAACUAAUCUCUUCUGCAGGGUCAGGUCUCCAGACGCACGUAAUCGUCUGAAGAAUUUGCUGGAGACCUGAGCAUGCCUGAUAGGAUGCAGGCUAAUCAUGAAAAAAAUGAACCUUCAUUUCUCACGUCCUCAUAUUGCUUUAUCAGUUCUCUUACUUGAUGAAAUUGAUCUGAUGAAUUGAUGUCAUAUUCUUCACUGAUGAAGUAUAUGAGUUUGUAAGCUGCACUAAUUCAUCUGCAGGAUGAUCAACCCAAAGCCACUGAGUGGGUCCUCGAUAGUGGACGUACAAACCACAUGACUGGUGACAAGAAUCUAUUGAUGGAUGUUCCAUUAUCUCCGUCGCAUCUGAAGCAUAUCAUCUUUGCUGACAAAGGCAAAAGUCAGGUAUUGGGUCUAGGUAAGGUUGUGAUUACAAAGGAUCGACACAUGGACAAAGUCAUGCUUGUUGAGUCCUUAGGAUACAACCUUAUGUCUGCCUCAAUGCUUUGUGAUCUUGAUAUGGUUGUUGUCUUUGGCAAGUACCGUUGUGUUGUGGUUAUGGAAGCUGACAAUACCAAAGUCUUCGAAUGCUUUAGGAGAGGAGACCUGUAUAUUGUCGAUUUCUCUACAGGACCACAACCAGCCGUGUGCUUACUUGCAAAAGCUUCAGAAGGUUGGCUCUGACAUCGACGACUUGGUCAUGCAGGCAUGAGGAAUUUGCACACGCUUGCGAAGAAGAAGCAUGUCAUUGGCAUCGAGAAUGUCAAAUUCCUCAAGGAUCACCUAUGCGGAGCCUGUGAAGCUGGGAAGAUGACCAAGGCCAAGCAUCCAGCGAAGACUAUCAUGACCACCACUCGCCCAUUUGAAUUGCUUCACAUGGAUCUCUUUGGUCCUAAUCAUUAUUCUGCUAUUUCAAAUGAAGCAUCUCAAUAUGGCUUUGUUAUUGUUGAUGAUUAUUCUCGCUACACGUGGGUACACCUUGUUACUUACAAACAUGAAGUGCAGGAAGUCUUCAAACGAUUUUCCUCGAGGGCUUCAACCAACUUUGGUGUGAAGAUCAAGCACAUCAGAAGUGACAAUGGCACUGAGUUCAAGAAUUCUGGUCUCGAUGACUAUCUUGAUGAACUUGGUAUUACUCAUGAGUUAUCUGCUCCUUACACUCCUCAGCAGAAUGGCAUCGUGGAGCGCAAGAAUAGAACUCUUGCUGAGAUGGCUCGCACUAUGCUUGAUGAAUACAAAACGCCUCGUCGUUUCUGGACUGAGGCAAUUGAUACUGCGUGCCACAUCAUCAAUAGAGUAUAUCUUCACAAAUUCUUCAAAAAGACUGCCUAUGAACUCCUCACUGAUAAGAAACCCAAUGUAGGUUAUUUCAAAGUCUUUGGUGCUAAAUGUUGGAUUAGAGAUCCUCAUCACAACUCAAAAUUUGCACCGAAAGCACAUGAAGGUUUUAUGCUUGGUUACAGAAAGGACUCGCACACCUACAGAGUCUUCAACAAUGUUCUUCACAAAGUUGUUGAAACUGUAGAUGUGCAGUUCGAUGAAACUAACGGCUCGCAAAGAGAGCACCUACCUACUGUGAUAGAUGAACCAGCACCUGAGGAAACUAUCAAGUUCAAGGCUACUGAGGAUGUCAUUCCUACUGAAGAAUCUGCUGAAGAAUUCAUUCCAGAACAUGAAGAACGUCGAGCUAAUGCACCUGAAGAAAAUACUGAAGAAAAUGGUGCUGAAGAAAACACUGAUCAAAUUCUUCAACGACAACCAGCUCAUCCUCGCAUUGCAAAAGAAGUGCAAGUUGAAAAGAUCAUCAAUGACAUCAAAGCGCCAGGUCCUCUCACACACUCAAAAGCUUCACAUUUGUCUAACUUUUGUGGGUAGUAUGCUUUUGUCUCUAUUACAGAGCCCACUAAGGUAGAUGAAGCAUUUCUGGAGCCUGAGUAGAUUCAGGCCAUGCAAGAGGAAUUACAUCAGUUCGAGCUUAACAAUGUCUGGGAAAUGGUCAAAUGUCCAGAUCCUCGCAAGCACAAUAUCAUCGGCACAAAGUGGAUCUACCGCAACAAGCAAGAUGAAAAUGGCCUUGUGGUGAGUAAUAAGGCACGGCUUGUAGCUCAAGGCUACACACAGGUUGAAGGAAUUGAUUCCGAUGAAACUUUUGCACCUGUUGCUAGACUUGAGGCUAUUCGCAUAUUACUUGCUUAUGCUAACCAUCAUGAUAUCACUUUAUAUCAAAUGGAUGUGAAAAGUGCAUUCCUCAAUGGUAAGCUUGAGGAAGAAGUAUAUGUUGCUCAACCCCCAGGUUUUGAAGAUCCAAAGAAUCCUGACAAAGUCUUCAGACUCAACAAGGCCCUCUAUGGCCUCAAGCAGGCCCCACGGGCUUGGUAUGAUACCUUGAAGGAACUCUUCAUGAAGAAAGGCUUCAAACCCGGUUCACUCGACCCUACUCUUUUCACUAAAUCUUAUGAUGGUGAAUUGUUUGUGUGCCAAGUAUAUGUUGAUGAUAUUAUCUUUGGCUGUACUGACCAAUGUUAUAGUGAUGAAUUUGCCUAUAUGAUGAGUGAAGAAUAUCAAAUGUCUAGGAUGGGAGAGUUGAAAUUCUUCUUAGGUCUUCAAAUUCGUCAACAACACAAUGGCAUAUUCAUAUCUCAGGAGAAAUACCUCAAGGAUGUACUGAGGAAAUUCGGCAUGCAAGAUUGUAAAGGCAUCAAAAUUCCUAUGCCCACAAAUGGCCAUCUGUGCACUGAUGAAAAUGGUAUUGACUUCGAUCAUAACGUAUACCGCUCCAUGAUAGGUUCCUUAUUAUACUUAUGUGCAUCUAGGCCAGAUAUAAUGCUUAGUGCUUGCAUGUGUGCCCAAUUUCAAGCUGCACCGAAGGAAUCACACCAUAAGGCUGUGAAGCAUAUUCUUCGAUAUCUAGCUCACACACCAAAACUUGGAUUAUGGUACCCCAAGGGCUCGGCUUUUGAUCUUGUUGGAUAUUCUGACUCUGACUAUGCUGGUGAUCGUGUGGAUCGCAAGUCAACAUCUGGUACAUGUCAUUUCCUCGGACGAUCUUUGGUCUGUUGGUCCUCGAAGAAACAGAACUGCGUAUCACUAUCUACUGCUGAAGCUGAGUACAUUGCCGCUGGUUCUUGCUGUGCCCAACUGCUAUGGAUGAAGCAAACUCUCAAGGACUAUGGCGUCAACAUGAAGAAUGUGCCUCUCUUCUGUGACAAUGAGAGUGCCAUCAAGAUUGCUCACAACCCAUUUCAGCACUCGAAGACAAAGCACAUUCAGAUUCGUCAUCAUUUUCUUCGUGAUCAUGUGUUGAAGGGCGACAUUUCUAUUGAGCAUGUGAAGACUGAAGAACAGCUAGCCGAUAUCUUCACAAAGCCCUGAUGAGAAGAGAUUUAGCAAGUUGCGGUGUGAGCUAAAUAUCCUAGAAUCUUCGAAUGUUCUUUGAAAAGGACACUCAUCCUAACACUUAUGCAAAAUUGAUGACUUAGAUGUGCAACACAUGAAGAAACGUUCUUCUUCAAUCAAUGAAGAAUAACACUCUUAGUGUGAAGAAAUUAACGAAGAAUUUGAUUCUUAGAACCCUACGAUAAUUGUACGCGGUGUCUGAAAUCAUCAUUCUUAUACGAUGGGUCACGCCACCAUCAAAAGUUGAAAUUCCUCAAGUUAUUCAUAUUCUUCAACUUUGCAUAGUCUUCAUUGGUUCCAUCGUUUUUCUUCAUUGGCUAUAUAUAUAUGAGUUUAUGUCCUCUAUAGCAUUCACUUAUUGCUAUUUCUUCAAGUUGGUUUUCUGCUAAGUGAAUGUGAUCGGACCCUUCCCCUCUAUGUUAUACUCAACCCAAUCUGUUCACAAAUUCUUCAUGUGCGUUCUAUUUGAAACUCGUUCAAAAUCUUCACUGUGUCCUUGACAGCUGAAGAAAGUGCGAACGGAACUUUAAAACCUAUCUUAUCAAAAAUUUCGGUUUUGCCGCUCAAACCGUUCCGCAUCCCACGAUACACUUAUCCACUCACCCACGAUCUAACACGAUCUCCACCUCUCACUACGUGGGUGACACAUGUCAUGCGAAUGAGAAGGGUCAGGGGCACGUUCGUCCAAUUUCUUCGGGCGAGCAGUUUUUCACCGUGGCUAUAAAUACCCCCUCCUUCCCUCCUUCACUUCUUUUACUCCGCUCGACCUCUCUCUCCAGCUCGAGCUUCUCAAACCCUAGCGCCGUCGCUACUUCAUCGCCGCUGGUGAGGAAGAGCUUCACUGCCUCGACCUCGUCGCCGACGUACUCGCGCUGACCGCGGACAUCUUCACUGUCGGGUGGUAGGUGCGACAUGCCAACGGGUGGCUUAUCAUUGUGGGAGCCAGUAAGACAUCGUCGGUGCCUGGAAACGGGAUGAGGCGAAGACAUGCACGCCGGCGGAUCUUACCCAGCUUCGGGGCUCUCCGUGGAGAUAACACCCCUACUGCUGCUCUGCGGGGUCUCCGCAUGUUCACUAGAUGAAUCAAGUGGCUACACAACGCUCCUUGAGCUGUUUGGGGGAAGGAGGAAGAAGGGCACGGCUAGCCUGCUUCUUCUCCUUGUGUGGUGUCUAGAACUAGCAAAGGGUCCAACCCUUUGCAUGGGUGCUCCGGGGGGUUUAUAUAGACCUACCCCCCGGGGGUACAAUGGUAAUCCGACUGGGCACGGGGCCCAGCCGUCUGUGACUGCGCUUGCCGGCUCCUGUGCCGGCUGCUGGGGCCCGCCGACUGGUGGGUCCCGCCGGUUGCCGGCCCCUUGGUCGACAGGCAGGCCCCACUGUCCAGGGCCUGGUCUGCGGCUGGUUACUGUGGCUUCAUCUUGUUGACGUGAGCUUCAUCGUGGUAAGCGUGGCUACAGUACCGCUGCCUGUCAGGCGAUCGCUGUAGCCUUACCGCGUCUUCUCUCCUUAAUGGGGCGUCCUCUUCGAGGGAAGCGGCAAGCCGGCUGCGGGGAGCCGGCUCUGUCUUGGGCCGACUGGUUGGAGGCGUGGCCGUCUUCGGGUGUCUCUCUACUCAAAGGGGCCCACUGUCUGUGGGCCACGCUGGCGACCCGUCGUGGGUGAUGCCAGGGUCAACAUGGCAACAGUGCCGCGCCGGACGGGUCAUGCCUACCCCGUACGGCGUAUUGUGCCAAGCGUGCCCCGGGAUUCGGGGGUGGCAGGCUUUACUGUAGCCACGCCCCGUCGCACCGCCGUUAGGUGGGUGCAAACUUUCGUGGGUACGGUCUUGACCGCUUUAUGGGGAGCCGGCUUCCUGGAGUCGGCCUUCUCAUGGCCGGCUUCUUGGAGUCGGCCUUCUCAUGAGGGCUAAAGUCGGACCGCCUUCCGAAAGCCGGCCUGGGUGGCAGCCAGCAAGGGGAAGGCGGCCCCUAUGUCUUGAAUUCUUGAGAGCCGGGCGGGCUCGUAAUUUUUUCAGAAGGGCCAGGGGAAGCCGGCUAGGCUACCCAUGGCUAUUUACUCCGACAGUAGUCCCCGAAGCUGAUCGAGCUCCGAGGCGAGCAGGGGGACGAGAAGCUUGGUCAGCUUCCCAUCCUGAAGAGCCGGCUUUUGCGGGCGUAUGCCGACUUCAGAGAGCCCCGCAUCUUACAGGCGGGAGGAGGGGGGACCUGCGUGCUGACUACGGGCCCCCCCGGCGGCCACGUGGCAGCGAGAUCCUGCGAGCGCACGCGCGCGACCGGACGCCGCCGCAGGCCCGGGCCCGCCACUCGCGAGCCUUGGUCCGGGCGCGGAUCCUCCGUGGCCCACAGGGGCCGCUCGCCUUCCCGAGGUAGUUUCGUUUCGCCGUUAAGGCUCAAUAAUCACGGGAUGUGGGGAGUGGGCACGAUUGAUCCCCACGCUUCCCCACGCCGCGCCUCCUCGGCUCCACCACGUGAGUCUAUAAGUAGGGGGAGGAGGGAGAGCAACAGAGGUUCACACGCUCUCUCCCGCUCCGCCCCUCCCAACCCUUGUUUCUUCCUCUCGCUGCCGUCGCAGCUUCCCGUCUCAGCGCCGCCGUGUUUCUACACCGCCUCGCUCCCAUGGCGUUGUCAAGCUCGUGGGACGGCUCCAACGUUCAUGACGACCAUGUGGAGUUCCUCCACCAGACUCGGUGCCUGCCCGGCGCCGACCUCGUACAGGUCCGCCUGGCGCCGGAGAAGGAGAUCUCGCCGGCACCGGAGGAGGGCGAGCGGGUCGUCUUCCGCUCGCACUGCCUGCGCGGCUUUGGCCUUCCGGCGAGCGGAUUUCUGUGCUCUUUCCUGGAAUUCUACAAUCUCCAGCCGCAUCACCUCACGCCCAAUGCGGUGAUGCUGCUGUCGGCCUUCGUCUCCCUCUACGAAGGCUUCUUGGGGCUGCUCCCCACGCUGGAGCUCUAGGGAGAGUUCUUCCAGAGCAAGCUCGGCACAGUCGUCGGCGGCAUGCCCGCCCCCUGCGGGGCCUUCAUCGCCAUGAGGAGGGCGAGCGAGAACAACCCGUUCCCGCCCAUCCCCCUGAUCCAGUCGGUGAAGGUCUGGCAGAGAUCGUAUUUCUACGUGAAGAACGUCGCCGAGCAAGGAGACUACAUCAACCUGCCGGCUUACGUAGCCGGCCCGCCGGCUGGGAGGCAGCCCUCGUGGAGCUUCCGGUCCCGGUCAUUGUCUCCGGCCGGGAACGCCGCCAUCUCCCGGCAUCGGGUGAUGAUUCAGUCGGAAGGCCUGCGCGGGGCCGACUUGGUGGCCGCCUUCGUGGAGCGCCGGAUCCUUCCUCUCCAAAGCCGGCCCCAUAUGAUGUGUCAGAUGAGCGGCCGCUUCGACCCAAGCCGGCUGAGCACAUGGGAAAUGCCCCACGCGGAGGUGGCGCUCAUGGUUAACUACAAUGCCAACUGCAAGCUCGCCGGGGACUGGCAAUACGGCAAGGUGCCGUAUUCUCGCGCCAAUCCUCCGCCCGUGGUAAGCUUCUCUCUCUGUCUUCUUUCUGUCGUCGGCCGGCUUCAUGACGGCCGGCUUCUUACCAGUCGGUUCUUUUGAGCAGAACCCUCUUCUUGCGCCGCCGGCCGGGGCGGCGGGGAUUGAACGCCAGUAUGCCCCCGACCGCACGGUGGAUGACGUUGACCACCCGGACUUGGGGGCGGCCGCCAUGGAAGACGCCGUCGUGGGGGACAGUGCCGAGCCUGGAGGCUCAAGGUUCACCGCGAGCUUCGAGGACUGGCCGGACGAAUUCGAAGCCGAAGUUGCCCCGCAUCGCUAGCCGGCGGCUGACCAUCAGGGCGCGGGCUCGUCUACCGCGCCGGCUGCCGGCGGUGGCGCACAGAAGCGCCAGGCCGCUUUAGGCCUCUUCGGCAAUCGGCCGAAGAAGUCCAAAGCCUCCGCCGCGGCGACCAAGCGAGAUGAGGCGGCUGCGAAAGCGGCCCGCUUCCGCAAGGCGGUGAAACAGCCUCCGGCGGUCUCAGCGUAAGUCUUCAACUGCCUUGCCGCACGCUCGUCAUCAUUCUCUUUCUCUUCGAAUAUUCUUCUUAUCCUUUUUCUCGCUUGCUGGACAGGGCGCCACUUUCCCUUGAGCGGGGUCCGGGCGGCUCCAUCGUGGGGCCGGCUGGAGGGUCUUCGAGCUCCCGCCGCAUGGACCCCCAUGCCGAUCUCAGGGAGGCCAUAGAGCGGAACGCCCGCGAAGCGCGGGAGGAGCACGAGGCGGCGGAAAAGGCGGCCGCCCAGGCGGCGAGGGAGCAGGCCGACGCGGCAGCCAAGGCCCAGACGGAGGCGGCUACCGCGGAGACGGAGGCGGAAAGCUCGCGCAACCAGUCUCCGCUGCUCGCCAUUCCUCUCCGAGCCGUAGCCCCCGACACCCCAUUGCCCUUGGCGGAGGAGAUCGUCCAAGACCCGCCGCUGUUGGAGAGGGGGGAGGACCCCGUGGCCUUGGUGGGGAGAGCGCCGCCAGCAGCGCCAACCGGAGCGGGCCAAGGCGGUCAAUCGUCAGCGGCGCCAGAGGGGCCGGCCGGAGGUGAGCCGGAGAACAGAGCCGGCCUCGAGGUGCAGCCGGCGACGGGCCGGCGCGCAGGGGGAGGCGCCGCUCCGCCGGAGUUGCGUCGAGCCGCGGGCGCAGGCCAGUCGGUGGAAGAUCUGGAGGCGGCCAGCACUGCCACGUCCGAGUGGACUCCCAGCGGGGGAACUGGCGAGCUGAAUGUGGCGGCUCAAGGGGUCCGGAGCCGGCUGCAAGCUCAGGCCGCCCUGCUGCAACAGUUCACCCAGGAGUUCUUGUCAACGCGAGCCACUAUCCGGGUGAGUCCUUCAUUCUUGGCUGCUUUGCUUUCUUAAUUUCUUCUGUGGGGGCGCGUUAGCGCACCCACUGGGUGUAGUCCCCAAGAUUCGGGCCGACUGCUGCGCAGUCGGGUCGGAUCUUUCUCGACGACUAUCUUACUUUGCUUUUUUCUGAACUUUCAGGAAUACCACAACCUUCAUGCUGCCGCCUUCAACUCCCAGGCUUGGGAGUUGAGCCGGCGGACCGACGACCUGGCCGACAGCCGAAGUAAGCACUUGGUUUUGUCUGUCUCCUGUGGGGGCACGUUAGCGCACCCACUGGGUGUAGUCCCCGAGAUUCGGGCCGACUGCAGCGCAGUCGGGUCGGAUCUUUCUUGACGACUCAUUCUUAUUGGUUUUUCUUUUUCUUUGUCUUCAGGGGCCAACGCCGACUUGAGGAAGGAGCUUGGCGAAGCGAAAGCCGCCCUUCAUACCAAGGAGGCCGAGUGCGCCGCCUUGGUCCAGGAACGGGAUCGCUUAGCCAAGAAGCUGGCUGACCAAGAGGAGAGCCACAAAGCGGCCCUGCAGGCGGCGCAGGAAAGCGAAGCCGCCUUGAAGGCGGAGUAUGAGACCGAGGCGGCGAGCUGGUCUGAGACCCGGCGAGCCCUGGACGAAGGCUUCGGCCGGAUCGAGGACUUGAUCGACGGUAAGUUGCCUUCCUCGGCCCUCCCCUGCCCCUUGCCGCUUGGGUUUUUUGACUUAUCUUGAACUGUUGCUUGUUUUUGAUGCAGACUACUUCCCCGGCUACUCCGCCUUCGCUGCCCAAAGCAUUGAGACCCAUCACGAGGCGCGUUGACAGGCGGGAGCCAACAUCGCGCCGGAUGCAAACCGGACACUUGAGGAGCAGCUCCUGGCUGUCCAGGCGCGGUUGCAGCCGGCUCAUCGGAUGCUUCGCCGGCUCCAACAUGCUGGGGCGCAAGUGUUGGCCGCCCUCUGGCCCGGUGAACGAUCCCCCGCACCCCAAGCCGCACUGCCGACUGGCUGGAGGUCGCAGUUGGUCGCUUUGAGGCUUGGAAGGCGUCGGCGGCCCGCCUCGGAGCCGGGCAGGCGUUGGAGUUCGUUCGGGCUUGGUACCCUGGGCUGAGCCUGGACCAGCUGUGCACUUGGCGGAUGGAGGCCGACGCGGAGCUGGAGGAGGUGACGCCGGCUAUCGCCCAGCGAGCUUCGACGAUCGCCGAGUGCACCGACAUCAGCAUUUUCGCACCCGAAAUUGAUGAUGACGGUGUUGCUCAGCCGGAGGAGUGGUUCGGGCUGAACUCGGCGGAGGAGAUUGCCUCCAGCGACGAAGGCGAGGACGACGAAGAGGAGGACGGCGAAGACGUCGAGCCAGCUGCUGGAACAAACGGCCGACCUCAGGCCGACCGUGCCUCCGGCAACAAGGCGCGUGGAAGCGCGCCCUCUGCGGGAGGCGGUGACAAAGCCGAAGUUCGCCAGCCGGCCGCUCCUUCAGCCGGCAUGACCGUCUCCGCCAACCAGUCUGGCUCGUCGGCCGCUCUGCCAGAUUGACCUGCCGUCUUUAUCUUUCCUGCCUUGUUGUCUUUGAACAAUCUUUGUUAAGUUUUCGCAGUUCCACCCACUGGGGGUGUAUCCAAACUAUGUUGAAUGCUGGCCUCUCGGAGGUCUUUUUUAUGUAAAUAUUAUCAUGUGCAUGUUUGGUUUCCAUUCGCGUAUGCUUUUUUAUCCUUAGGCUUUUUCCUUUGCCGCCUUCCCUCUUUGGGGAGGCAAGUACUUGAGCUUUCUUGGAUUGAAGUGAAGUGAAUGGAAACCGGCCGGCCGGCUACUCUGGUAGCAGUCGGCGGUGUGAGAAAAACCGGCUUUUGUUAUAUUAGUCCGUUAGUCCCUAGCCGUUUUUCGUGUGGGCGCCCGUUCCUGCCUUUAACUCUUGCCAGCCGGACAGACGGUUCUUCGAACUGCGACUUUUGGCAAGAGAAGGCUUGGGAGCCGGCACACUACUUGUCUGACUGCGGGUAGGACUUCUAACAUAACUCCAGUCGGUCAGUCCCUGAGCCGACUAGUCGAACUCGGUGCCGGACGGAAUAAGUAAAUGACGCGACAAGGUCAUAAACAUGAUACUUUUCAUUCAUAGAUAAGGGAUGGCAGUCCUCGAGCCCUCCUCGGGGAGCCUAUUGUCUUGUACUUAAUACAAAAGUUAGCGCGGUACAUACUGCAUUUCAACUGUAAAAUCUUCGGAGGAGGUUGGCGUUCCAUGGUCGUUCCGACUCCUUGCCGGAGUCGUCUCUCUUGCGCGCCUUCGGCUUCUGUGCGUCGAUCUGGUAGUAGGAGUCGUUGCCUAGAGCUCUGCUGAUGACGAAGGGGCCUUCCCAAGGGGCUGAGAGCUUGUGCUGGCCGGCUGUUCGCUGGAUCAGCCGGAGCACAAGAUCGCCCUCUCGGAAAGAUCUUGGCCUGACUUUCCGGCUGUGGUAGCGGCGCAAACUCUGCUGGUAGAUGGCAGACCGGCUGAGGGCUAACAGCCGGCUUUCUUCCAGCAGGUCGACGCCGUCUUCUCAUGCUUCCUUGGCCUCCUCUUCCGUGUACAUGGUUACUCGAGGCGAGUCGAACUCGAUGUCAGUUGGGAUGACCGCCUCGGCACCAUACACAAGGAAGAAAGGGGUGAAGCUUGUUGACUUGUUUGGUGUAGUGCGCAGACUCCAGAGGACAGCCGGCAGCUCAUCGAGCCAACAGCUGGCUGAGCGCUCCAGAGGUUCGACCAGUCGAGGCUUGAUACCGGAGAGGAUGAGGCCGUUGGCUCGCUCGACCUGGCCGUUUGACUGCGGGUGGGCGACGGAUGCUAAGUCCAGCCGGAUACCUUGGGCUGCACAGAAACGUGCCAAGGCUCCUUUGGCAAAAUUCGUGCCAUUGUCGGCGAUGAUGUUGUGCGGCACGCCGUACCGAGUUGUUAUGUCUGCGAUGAACAUCAUGGCAGUCGGCCCAUUCAGCUUCUUGAUCGGCUUUGCCUCAAUCCACUUGGUGAAUUUGUCCACGGCGACUAGUAAAUGUGUCAUGCCGCCGCGCGCCGUCUUGAAUGGGCCCACCAUGUCCAGUCCCCAAACGGCGAAGGGCCAAGUGAGGGGAAUGGUCUUGAGUGCUGAAGCCGGCACGUGUUGCUUGGAGCUGAAGAGUUGGCAUCCCUUGCAAUGUUUGACUAAUUCUUUGGUGUCAUCCAAAGCAGUCGGCCAGAAGAAACCAUGGCGGAAGGCUUUGGCGACAAGUGAUCUUGAGGCCGCAUGGUGGCCGCAUUCUCCUUGGUGAAUGUCUCUGAGGAUUGCGAUGCCCUUCUCUUGCUCGACGCACGGUUGGAGGAUUCCAGUGACACUGCGCUUGAGUAGUUCUCUGUUGACGAUCGUGUACGCUCCGGCUCGAUGCUGGACUUGUCUUGCUUCUGUUUCGUCAGCCGGCAGGUCUUGGUUUACUAGGAAGUUGAGGAUGGACUGAGCCCAUGACGGAGCCGCGACUUCUCCUACUGCCAAUGUGGCUACUGCUACCAGGGUGGGCGGGCUGGGCGGUGAGCUGCUGGAGUCGGCCGCUGGCUGUAGUGCUGGUGCAGUCCCCGGGCCGGCUACCGCAGUCCCCGAGCCGGUCGCCGAAGUCCCCGAGCCGGCUGCCGAAGUCCCCGAGCCGGCUGCCGAAGUUGCCGGGCCGGCUACGGGGGUCUUGGGGUAGCCUACUUGGUUCUUCGAGCCGGACCCGACCGCAUCGGGGUCAGGCGGCACGAAGAUGGAAUCAGACUCCGGAGAUGGCUUGAUGGACGGCUUGAGGAGGCGUUGUAAAGCGACGCUGGUUGGAAUUGCUUGCCGAGUGGAGCCUAUUCGAGCUAGGGCAUCGGCUGGCUCGUUGUCGGCUUGUGGUACGUGGAGGAACUGGCAUCCUUCAAAGUAUCCGCUGAGUUGUUGGACCAGGAAGCGGUAGCUCGCCAUAUUCACGUCCUUGGCGUCCCAGUCGCCGGAUGAUUGCUGGACCACUAGGUCCGAGUCACCAUAACAUAGGAUCCGGCGAAUGCCAAGUUCUUUGGCAAGCCGGAGCCCGUGUAUGAGCGCCUCGUACUCGGCCACAUUGUUGGAGGCGGCAAAGUGAAUCUGUAGCGUGUAUCUGAGUUUGUCGCCUUUCGGACAGGUAAGGACGACGCCGGCUCCCAAGCCGGUGCGCAUCUUGGACCCGUCGAAGUGCAUGCGCCAAUGGGUGGAGUCGGGAGCCGGCGGCAGGUACUGGGUCUCGGCCCAGUCGACGAGGAAGUCGGCCAGUGCUUGGGACUUGAUGGCAGUGCGCGGCUGGUAGAAGAUCGUGUAGGGGGCCAGCUCGAUGGCCCAUUUUGCCACCCAGCCGGAUGCGUCCCGGCUGCCUAUGAUCUCGGCUAGCGGGGCGGUGCAUACGACCGUGACGGGAUGCUCUUGAAAGUAGGGCUUCAGCUUCUUGGCGGUGAAGUACACGCCGUAACACAUCUUCUGGUAGUGCGGGUAGUUCUGCUUUGAGGCGGACAGCACCUCGCUCAAAUAAUACACCGGCCUCUGGACCGGCUGGGCUCGGCCUUCUUCUGGGCGCUGGACUACAAUGACGGUGCUGACCACCCGGCUGGUUGCGGCAAUGUAGAGGAGCAUGGGCUCUUUCUUAGUCGGUGCCGCGAGGACAGGCGGCGUGGCCAGCAUCUUCUUCAGCUCGUGAAAAGCUUGGUCGGCCUGGUCGUUCCACUCGAAGUGAGUGCUCUUCUUCAUGAGGUGGUAGAGGGGGAGAGCUUUCUCUCCGAGCCGGCUGAUGAAGCGGUUCAAGGAGGCCAAGCACCCGGUGAACUUCUGAAUGUCUCGAAGCUUGGUAGGGAUCGCUAUUCUCUCGAUGGCCUUGAUCUUCACCGGGUUGCAUUUGAUGACGCGUUCGGAGACCAGGAAGCCUAGGAGCUGGCCGGCUGGCACCCCGAACACGCAUUUCUCGGGGUUAAGCUUGAUUUGGAACCGACGUAGGUUCUCAAACGUUUCCUUGAGGUCUCCCAGCAAGGUGCUGCGCUUCUCUGUCUUCACCACGAUGUCGUCCAUGUAAACGUGAGCGUUUCUGCCAAGUUGCUUGAGGAGGCACUUCUGCAUGCAACGCUGAAAAGUGGCACCGACAUUUCUCAAGCCGAAUGUCAUGGUCAGGUAGCAGAAGGCUCCAAAUGGCGUGAUGAAGGCGGUCUUCAGGCGGUCGUCCGGGUCUAGCUUUAUCUGAUGAUAUCCGGAGUAAGCAUCCAAAAAACUCAACAGCUCGCAUCCGGCUGUGGAGUCUAUCACUUGGUCAAUCCUUGGCAGGGCAAAAGGAUCUUUGGGGCAGGCCUUGUUGAGGCUCGUGUAGUCUAUACACAUGCGCCACUUGUUGUUCUUCUUUAGCACAAGGACCGGGUUGGCGAGCCACUCUGGAAAGAAAACUUCCAUGAUGAAGCCGGCUGCCAAGAGUCAGGCUAUCUCCUCCCCUACAAUCCUGCGUUUCUCCUACGACAGUCGACGAAGGGGUUGUCUGACUGGCUUUGCGUCUUCUCGAACGUGUAGUUUGUGCUCGGCGAAUUUCCUCGGAACACCCGGCAUGUCCUUGGGGGGCCAUGCAAAGAUGUCCCGAUUCUCAUGGAGGAAAUCGGCGAGCUCGCCUUCCUAUUUGCUGUUCAGGUUUGCCCCGAUGACGGCAAACCUCUCUGGAUGCUCGGGGUCAAGAGGUAUCUUCUUCGUCUCUUUGGCCGACUGGAAAGAUCCUUGAGCGUCAUGCUCCUUGGGGUCAGGGGACACGGCCGGCUGCUUGCCGGCUAUGGCCACGACUCGGUCCAGCAUCUUCUUCUCUUCGGCAAUCACAAGGGACUCGGCUAGCCGGCUGCUGGCUGUUGCGCACUCGGAGGACUUCUUGUAAUCGCCGGCUAUGGUGAUGACGCCUUUGGUGCUUGGUAUCUUCAUCUUGAGGUAUGCAUAGUGGGGGACUGCCAUGAAUUUGGCCAAGGCAGGUCGGCCAAGCAAUGCAUGGUAAGGGCUCUCCAGGUCCACCACUUCAAACCAGAUCGCUUCUCGGUGGAAAUGCUCCUUGUCCCCAAAAAGCACAUCGAUCUUGAUUUUGCCAAUGGGGGCGCAGGAUAAGCCCGGUACGAUGCCAUGAAACACUGUCCGAGUAGGCGUGAGCUGCUUCGUCUUGACGUUCAGCUUUUCCAGGGUGUCACGGUACAGGAUGUUGAUGCUGCUCCCGCCGUCUAUCAACACACGGGAGAAGCGGGUGGCGCAUCUGUCCAUUGCAAGGGUGGCUUCCAAGACCAAAGCAUAAGAGCCGGGAGACGGCAUCACCUCCGGAUGGUCGGCCCCGCUCCAGCUGAUGGGCUUUUCUGACCAAUGCAUGUGCCCGGCGGGGUUGGCAGCGACCAUGCUGACUUCCUGGUGCUCUCGGCGUUUGCUGCGCCGGUCUUCGGGCUGGCUGAUGAAGAUGAUGUAGGUUGCUUGCUCGUCAGGGAACUCGUCAUGCACGGCUCCGACUGCGGGCCGAGCGGCCAGAGGCGGCGGAGGCGAAGGCGGUGGGCCGGCAGGCGGAGGCGGUGCGAGCCCUUCGCCUUUAGAAAUUCGGGUGAGCCAAUGGCACUUCCGGGUCGUGUGGUUGGACGGCUUCGCGCCGCUGUGGAACUUGCAAGGGGCGUCGAGAGUCUGCUCGUAGGAGAGAGUGGGCUGCCAAGCCGGCCUGCCGCCCUUGGGUUUCUUUGGCGCCGGUCGCUCUUCGGGCGGCGCGUCUUCGACUGUGGCCACCUGCCGACUGGAGGGAGGCGGUGCGGGGCCCUUGCGCUUGUGGUCGUUCGAGUGGGGGUGUCGGCCGGAAUCCCCAGCCGGCGUCUUGGGCGCCGGGUUGAGUACCUUUCCGGACGCGUCCACCCGAAGCUCGGUCUUCAUCGAGGAGUCAGCGGUGGCGUACUUGUCCGCUAUGUCCAGAAGCUCGUCGAGGGUAGCCGGCUCGUCGCAGAGGAGCUUGUGCUUGAGGAGGGUGCCUUCGCGGCAUCCGGCUGUGAAGUAUUCUAUGGCUUGCACCUCGUGCAGCCCUUCACAGGAGUUGCGGAGCUCGGCCCAACGCAUGAGGUAAUCACGAGUGGACUCGGCGGGGCCUUGCACGCACAAGGAGAGCUGUCUGGGCUUGGGAGCCCGCUUGUAGGUGCUGGUGAAGUUGCGGAUGAAAGCUUCUGUGAAAUCUAGCCAGUUGUUGAUGCUACGCGGCUUGAGGCUGUUGAGCCAGGUCCGCGCCGUGCCUUGCAGCAUGAGGGGCACGUACUUCACGGCAACGCGUCGGUUGCCGUUGGCUAUGCUAACCGCCGUGGAGUAGUCGAUCAACCAAUCUUUCGGCUUCCUGGAGCCGUUGUACUUGGGCGUGUCUCUUGGGAGCGAGAACCCUUUGGGAAAGGGCUCGUCGCGGAUGCGGGGGCCGAAACAAGGCGGGCCGACAUCGUCUUCUUCUUCCAACGCCAGGGAUCGCGCCAGGCGGUCGAUCCGAUGGCGGGCGUCGUUCUCGCCGAUUCCUUCGCGGCGGCCCAGCCGGCCGCUGAGAGUCGGGUGCGCCACUGGCGGCGGGGCGAGAUAUCUCUCUCCACGGGGCGGAGGCGGAGGCGGGUCGCCACGCCAUUCCAUGGCUCGGGGAUGGCCGUCCGUGUCUCGCUCGAUGGAGAUUCGGGUCCGGCUACGGCUGGCAGCCGGCUCUUUCUCGCGCCGCGCGCGGGUGUCGCUCGUAGCCGGCGUCCAGGACGUCGCGCCGUGAUCUCGGCGCGGGGGAGGGCUUCCCGCGCGGGCAUCUGCUUCGUGCCGCUGCGCGGCUGUGUCGAUCAGUUGCUGGAUGCGCCGGGUCAUGUGGGGGAGGUCUUCGGCCUCCAAGCCGUCCAACUCGUCUACGGCCGCCUGGGCGGCAUGCAAGUCCUCGAGCGGCGUGGCAUAGACCGGGUGGUCGACUCCCAGUGUGUCGGUGAUGACGGCGCCGCGUUGCUUGAGAAGGCCGGCCCGGCUCGGCCCGCCUGGGGCCGGUGUGCCGAAGGCGGCGCGGUCAGCUUCGCGCUGGUAGGCCUCAGUGAGGCGUCUUACGGAAGCCAGCCUCCGGCCCUCUGCGAGGAGGGCGAGGCGGCGUGCCUCCAGUGCUUCGUCGUCGGCAUCAGCCGGGAGGGGAGCGGACAAGUCGUGUGCCGCCGUGCGCAAGGCGUCGCGGGCGCUCUCGUCGGCCGGGCCAUCGUGGCCGACAACCAUCACUUCGGUGGUGACAGCAUCGCAGCCGUCGGCUCGAGGAAGCGGGUCGUUGUAGAUCAUGACGUUGGUGGGGAAGGUGUCGUAGGAGGCCGUGUCGGAGUCGACAGGCAUCGGGUCGGUGGAGCCAACCGACUCCAGGUCCACAACGGGCUCGCCGGAGACAUGGAGCUGGCCGAGAAGGUUGGCGAGGCGGUCGGUGCCUGCAUCGGAGGCGAGCUCGUCGGAGAUGAGAGUUUUGUCGAGGAGAUCGGCGAGGCCGCUUGCCGUGCAGAUGCUGGUGACGCCUUGCAGCGCGUCGUGGCAAGCGCCAUCGGGCGUGCCGGGCUGGCUACGCUCACGGGGGAGGAAGAAGGUUCCCGUCCAGAACGGGUCUCCGGACGACUGUGCACCUGGCCCCACGAUGGGCGCCAAAUGUUGGGUGGUAGGUGCGACAUAUGCCAAUGGGUGGCUUAUCAUUGUGGGAGUCAGUAAGACAUCGCCGGUGCCUGGAAACGGGAUGAGGCGAAGACAUGCACGCGGCGGAUCUUACCCAGCUUCGGGGCUCUCCGUGGAGAUAACACCCCUACUGCUGCUCUGGCGGGUCUCCGCAUGUUCACUAGAUGAAUCAAGUGCCUACACAACGCUCCUUGAGCUGUUUGGGGGAAGGAGGAAGAAGGGCACGGCUAGCCUGCUUCUUCUCCUUGUGUGGUGUCUAGAACUAGCAAAGGGUCCAACCCUUUGCAUGGGUGCUCCGGGGGGUUUAUAUAGACCUACCCCCCGGGGGUACAAUGGUAAUCCGACUGGGCACGGGGCCCAGCCGUCUGUGACUGCGCUUGCCGGCUCCUGUGCCGGCUGCUGGGGCCCGCCGACUGGUGGGUCCCGCCGGCUGCCGGCCCCUUGGUCGACAGGCAGGCCCCAUUGUCCAGGGCUUGGUCGGCGGCUGGUUACUGUGGCUUCAUCUUGUUGACGUGAGCUUCAUCAUGGUAAGCGUGGCUACAGUACCACCGCCUGUCAGGCGAUCGCUGUAGCCUUACCGCGUCUUGUCUCCUUAAUGGGGCGUCCUCUUCGAGGGAAGCGGCAAGCCGGCUGCGGGGAGCCGGCUCUGUCUUGGGCCGACUGGUUGGAGGCGUGGCCGUCUUCGGGCGUCUCUCUGCUCAAAGGGGCCCACCGUCUGUGGGCCACGCUGGCGACCCGUCGUGGGUGAUGCCAGGGUCAACAUGGCAACAGUGCCGCGCCGAACGGGUCAUGCCUACCCCGUACGGCGCACUGUGCCAAGCGUGCCCCCGGAUUCGGGGGUGGCAGGCUUUACUGUAGCCACGCCUCGUCGCACCGCCGUUAGGUGGGUGCAAACUUUUGUGGGUACGGUCUUGACCGCUUUAUGGGGAGCCGGCUUCCUGGAGUCGGCCUUCUCAUGGCCGGCUUCUUGGAGUCGGCCUUCUCAUGAGGGCUAAAGUCGGACCGCCUUCCGAAAGCCGGCCUGGGUGGCAGCCAGCAUGGGGAAGGCGGCCCCUAUGUCUUGAAUUCUUGAGAGCCGGGCGGGCUCGUAAUUUUUUCAGAAGGGCCAGGGGAAGCCGGCUAGGCUACCCAUGGCUAUUUACUCCGACAUUCACUACACCGCCGCCGUAGCCGUCUUCCUCUGCCAAGUUAGGGCGUGGAAGAUCUGCACAGACGAACUUCACAUCUCCUCACUCCAGUUCGUCGUGUUCUUCGUCUAGGGUAAUUAAAAGUUACUUUUACUGCCCUCGUUGAUUCGAAUGAUUAUCUACAAAAUCUUCAAAAGUGUUUUUCUUCAUAUCUUCACACACUGAACACCUCACAAGUCAUCCGUUCUUGAUUCAUUUCUCUAAGCAUCAUUUUUCUUCAAGAUUCCUCAAUUGUGUGGAUCUUCGAUCUAUACAACUCUGGAACCUAAGACAAAGAACGCUUAGUGAAAAUCUUCAAGACUCAUCUGGUCAAAUUCCUCAAACUUGUUCAUUUUGAAAAACCUUCUGAGAACGCAUAUGACCUCUCCAAAUUCCUCGCAACUAUACUCUGUUCACAGGUACACAUGUCAGCUGCUGAAUCACUAGGUUCUCAUCAACUUAACUCAUUUGCAGCGUUCCUCGAAGAAAAGUUGCAUACUUCUUCAGAGAAUUCGAUUGUUCAAAUUCCUCAACUGAAGAAAAUGGCUGAUGGUAAAAGGCCAUAGAAGGGAGGAAAGAGGCCUGAGGUAAAUACAACGUUUGAAAUCCCUGAUGACAUAUAUGCUGGGUACUGCACACCUACCGAGGAAACCAAGAAUGAGCGCAAAGUGCGCAUUCAGAAGAUAGAGAGGAGAUGGGCAAGAGAAUGGAGGGAGUACAGAUAUGUCACUCCUAAGUAUAUGAAGAAAUUCGCACUCAAUCCUCCAUGCCCAAGAGCACCACUGGCACCUGGCCAAAUUGCUGAUCCCACCAGUCUUAAGCGCGGUGAGGACUAUCCUGAUGAAUGGGCCAAGUGCCAAGGCAAGUUGGCUAAGCAAGCCAAAGAAGCAGUGAGGAAAUUAAAUGAAGACUCUGCUGAUGUUGUUGCCUCUGCUGAGGUCCUUGUUGUCAAGCCAAAGAAGGCUAUGUCAAAGAAGCCUGCGCGCAAGCCAAGUGCUUCCUCAGUAAUGCCCUCACGGCCAGAAUCAUCAAAGCCCUCAGGGCCAAUUCCUCAUGCUGCUCCUGUUCCUCCAAAGUCCUCAGCUCCUCCGCCAAAGCCUUCAGUUGUUUCGACCAAAUCCUCAGCACAUGUGCAUCUCGCUUCGUGCCAAAGGACUGCCGGCAUCUCCAUUGCCUCAGGUGUCUCAGCUAGUUCCUCAGCUGCACCAAGUUCCUCAGCUGGCCCCUCACUGCUGAAGACAAAGGCCACUGCUGGAUGAGGUCCAUGCCCAAGUCCUCAAAAGAAGCAAGUCGCUUUCCAAGUGUCGUCUGAUGAAGACGAAGCUGAUGAUGAUGAACUUGCAGAAAUCAUCAGAGACAGGCAAGUCAGGGCCGCUAGAGCCAAAGGAUCAGAGGUGCCACUGCUUUUGGAUCCCAAGCUGAUCCUCGACUACAUUGAUGAUUGGCACAAGGACCCCAACACUCCCUUGCCUGACUUCAAGCUGACUCCUGGCCCGAGUCACAUGCUGACCCACUUCAUUCAAGAAGAAAAGUGGAAAUUUGAGAAGGCCAGGCAGAUCAAGAAAGUGCAGUACAAGAAAGAGCACUAUCUGAAGAAAAACGUUGUCUCUAUGACAACUGAAGAACUUGUCACUAUUCAGACUGAGAUUAAGAAACUCAGUGAUGACUUUGACGCAUAUCGCGCUGAUUGGCUUGGAGCCAAGGUUCAUUUUGUGAAACUUGCGGAUAACUUCACUUCCAAUGUUGCAGCCCCAACGCAACAGGAAAUUCCUCAGGCUGAAGCAUCUGCUCAGCCUACUGAAGAAAAUGCUAGCACCGCUGAUAACAAUCAGGCUGCUGAAGAUAAUGUGAGUUCCAGGGCUGAUGACUGCAUUCCAGCCAUUGAAGAAAUUUCUAGGGCACCCACUAGUGGUGUGCUUGAAGAAACUGAAGACCUCAGGGCAACUACAUCAGUUGUGCCUGAAGAAAAUCAACUAGAUUCCUCAGCUGCUCCUGCACCAACUUCAACUCCAAUCCUUCCAUCUGCAUCAGAUGUGAAGAAGACCAAGGCUGCAGAGCGUGCUGCAGUGAAGAAAAAGAAAGCAUCAGCUGCUUCAGAUUCUUCGGCUCCGAAGAAAAUGAAGCCUAUGACACACUACUAGAAAAAGGGCUAUAGAUGGGAUUGACACUAAUGGCGCACCAGACAAGCGGUGCGCCAUUAGUAUAUACUAAUGGCGCACCACCUUCUGAUACGCCAUUAGAGUUGAAACUACUAAUGGCGCACCUGGCCCCGGGUGCGCCAUUAGUAUCAAAAAAAAAAUUAACUAGUGCGCAUGUCCAAACAUACUAAUGGCGCAUCCAGACACAGUGCGCCAUUACUAGUUGUAACUAGUAAUGGCGCACCUGCCGGAAAGUGCGCCACUAAUGUUGUUUUUUUAUUAUAUUUUUUAUUCCCUUUUUUGCAAAACUACUAAUGGCGCACUGUUCCACCGUGCGCCAUUACUAGUUUAAACUAGUAAUGGCGCACUGUGGGACAGUGCGCCAUUAGUAUUUUUUUUGCAAAACUACUAAUGGCGCACCACCAGGAGGUGCGCCAUUAGUAACCUGGAUUACUAAUGGCGCAUUUAGAGUUGGUGCGCCAUUAGUAAGUGGGCAGCAACAAGAUAUUUUGGACAGCCUCUCCUACCCACACUCACUUUCUCCCCACUUCAUUCUCUCCACCUCCUCCUUGUCUCGGGUGCCUCCUCUUUUUCACCUCAUUUCCACCAUAGAUUCAUUCAAUUUAAGUGGUUAAAUUACCUUGUUUUGAUAGGUAAGUAAGGGGGGAAGCUAUAUUUAUGUUGUUCUCCCUACAACAAUGUGCACAUGCACUUUUUAUGGCCUAGCUAGAUCUAUGUAUGUUCGUGGUGUUGCAUAUGUUUGUGGUGUUGCAUAUGUGUUUGUGUUUGGAGGUGUACCGGUAUUUGAAAUUCGAUAGUUUCCAAUAUUUUGCCACAAUGUUGAUUCAUUUUCAUUUCGGCGAGAAUUUUGGCAUUAAGCAUUCUUUUUGGUCCUAUUUUUAGGGAAAGUCAUGCCAAAUUUUUUCUUGGUUCUAAAAUAUCAUUUUGCUCUACCCCGCAGGCGACCAUGGUCCGCAUGAUGACCGAAGGCAUCGUGAAUAGGUUUUUGAGGUCCGUGAAGGCCGAGAUGCUUCAAAAGAACGAGACGGAGAUAAGAUGUCCGUGUCGAAGAUGCAAGCUAAAGAGCCUUAUUGCGGACCCGGAAUCCGGGCAGGUGUGGGACCACCUGCUCUUGCGUGGUUUCAUGGAUGGCUAUCAGUGGCAAGGUGAUGAAGAUGACUACGAAGUCGUCCAUGGGGGCCGGGCAAGAAAUGAGGAAGGGCAGCAAGACAACCACCGCGGCUCGGGCAGGCGAGAAGACGAAGAAUCCCCAGGAGAUGAUCACGACGGUGAUGCUGUACACAGUCAUCAUGUAGAAGAUGCAGGACAUGAUGAUGAGGAAGAUGCUGGAGCAGUAGACGGGCAUGAUCAUGAAGAUGAUGAUGCCGGCGGAGCAGACGACGCUGGACCAUCGAUGGGCUGGGUGCAGGACCCUCAUAUUCAAGAGCUGCUUCUCAAGCAGACGGAUAACGCAAGAGCUGCCGCCCGAGAGAAAGCCAAGAUGGAUCAACUUGAGUUAGACGCGGUUACUCCAUUGUAUGAAGGAUGCAGGCCCGAGGAUACCCGCCUGAAAGUAACGCUCAUGGCUCUGGAGAUGAAGGUAAAACACAAAAUGACCGACGCAUGCUUCAACGAGAACAUGUCAUUCUGGCACGAACGUCUUCCCGAGGGGAACAAGUGCCCGACCAGUUUGGAGGAGGCGAAGAAAAUCGUGUGUCCUCUGGAUUUACCGCACGUGAAAUACCAUGUGUGCAUGAACAAUUGCAUCAUUUAUCGGGACGAGCACGCGGAGUCUACCAUAUGUCCGGUGUGCGGUGUCACUCGAUACAAGAAGAGGAAGAAAGCUCCUCGAAAAGUGGUGUGGUACUUUCCGAUCACUCCUCGUCUGCAGCGGUAUUUCGCGGACCCUAAGGUAGCAAAGCUCCUGCGUUGGCACGCGGAUAGGGAGGAGAAGAAGCAAGAAGAUGUCGCAAAUGAUCCGGAGAUAGAUAAAAAAGACAAGAUGCUGAGUCACCCUAAGGAUGCAAGCCAGUGGCAAGCGUUGAACUUCGAAGACCCGGAAUUUGGGAAUGAUCCGAGGAACAUCGUGCUGGGCGCGAGCACCGAUGGAGUCAAUCCGUUUGGCAGCCAGAGAAGCACACAUAGCACUUGGUCUGUGUUUGUGUGGAUGUACAACCUUCCCCCUGGUUGUGCAUGAAGAGGAAGUACAUUCACAUGAGUAUGCUAAUUGAAGGACCGAAACAACCAGGGAAAGACAUCAAUCUGUAUCGGGGGCUGCUGAAAGAGGAGCUUGACACGCUGUGGAAAAUGCCAGCCAAUACGUGGGACGCCGCAGAGAAAGAAUAUUUCCCUAUGAGAGCCACGCUGCUCACGACGGUGCACGACUAUCUCGGUUACGGAUAUGUCGCGGGGCAGGUGGUCCAUGGAUUUUCUGGAUGUGUCAGGUGCAUGGAUGACACAAUGUAUCGCCGCUAGAUAGAGAUCCCGGGUCUUCGAAAACCGUGUUCAUGGGACAUCGAAGGUGGCUUCGCGACGAUGACCCAUGGACAAAACGCAAGGAUCUGUUCGAUGGUGAAACCGAACCCCGAGGACGCCCGCGUACGAGGAGCGGCGAGGAAAUAGACGAGCUGUUGAAAAAUUGGAAAGACUGCCCACUGCCGGGAAAGAAGCAAAAGGCGCCAGAGCCAGGAAAGAAGCGAAAGGCGCCAGAGCCGCUGCUGAAGGUAUGGAAAACGAGGUCUGUUUUCUGGGACUUGCCGUACUGGAAGAUCCACCGUGUGCCUCACAGCCUUGAUGUCAUGCAUAUCAGGAAGAACGUGUGUGAGAGUCUGCUUGGUACCCUGCUCAACAUGCCAGAGAGGACCAAAGAUGGGCCGAAAGCAAGGGCAGACUUGAAAUCAAUGGGCAUCAGGCAGGAGCUUCACGCUAUAUAUGAUGAUCAUGAUGAUGAUGAUGAUGAUGAGGCGAAGCAGGACACGGAAAGUCGUCGCAAAGGCAAAAAGGCCAAGAAGACCGGAAAUGACUACCCUCCCGCGUGCUUCACUCUAAGUCAGGAGGAGAUCGAGCAGUUUUUCACCUGCCUCGUAGGAGUAAAACUUCCUUACGGUUACGCGGGGAAGAUAAGCAGAUACCUAGACCCAGCGAAGCUGAAGUUCAGCAGGAUGAAGUCUCACGACUGUCACGUGCUGAUGAUGCAGAUACUUCCAGUUGCAAUCCGUGGGAUCAUGGACGCGCACAUCCGUGAAACCCUAUUUGGCCUAUGCAACUUUUUCGACAUCAUCUCUCAGAAAUCUGUUGGCGUGAGGCAACUCAGAAGGCUACAGGAAGAGAUCGUGGUGAUACUAUGCGAGCUUGAGAUCUACUUCCCGCCCGCAUUCUUCGACGUUAUGGUGCAUCUGUUGGUCCAUAUCUUGGACGAUAUCAUCCAACUCGGGCCGACAUUCCUGCACAGCAUGAUGCCGUUCGAAAGGAUGAAUGGUGUCAUCAAAGGAUACGUUCGCAACAUGUCACGUCCAGAGGGAAGCAUAGCCAGGGGCUUUCUGACCGAAGAGUGCAUCUCCUACUGCACGAAUUAUCUAGGCAUCGAGAACCCCGUUGGUCUGCCCGUCAACAGGCACCUCGGCAGGCUCGCUGGAUGGGGUCACCGUGAGGGUCGUCGCGAAAUGCAUGUCGACUUCGAGGGUCGACUCGCCGACUUUGAAAGAGCAAACCUAGUCGCACUACAACACAUAGACGUGGUCGAUCCUUGGGUGGUACAGCACAAAACCUUUAUUAAGAAGACGUACAAUGACCGAGGCCAACAGAGGACGGACGGAGAUAUACUCAAAGAGCACAACUCAUGUUUCACGCAUUGGUUCAAGCAGAAGCUUCUGCCGUACCCUUUACAUGAGGAUUCUUCCGUGGAAGAACAACUCAUAUUCGCCUUGUCACAGGGCGCCGAGCACAACCUGAUGACCUAUGAGGCGUACGAUAUCAACGGCUACACAUUCUACACCGAGGCCAAGGACAUGAAGAGCGAUGGUUAUCAGAACUCCGGGGUAACGAUGAAAUCCUACACCGGUAACGACAAGGACAGAUACUACGGAAGGAUCGAGGAGAUCUGGGAGCUGAGCUACGCUGGAGAGAAGGUCCCGAUGUUCCGUGUCAGAUGGGCCAAGAGCGUCCUAAAAGAAGGCCGGUAUUUCACCACCAUGGUUAUACCCGAAGCCAAAUCCAAGACCGCGGGCGCAAACGUCACCGCGAAAAAUGAGCCAUGGGUACUGGCUUCCCAAGUGGACCAAUGCUUCUUCAUUACCGACCCGUCAAAGCCCAGUCGUGUUGUCGUGAGGAGAGGCAAAAGGAAGAUCAUCGGAAUGGAUGGAGUAGCCAAUGAGCAAGACUUCGACAAGUAUGGCGACCCAAGGAUCGAACAUGACGAUGAUGAUGAAGUAGCAGCAUACACCACAAGAAGAAGCAGGACCACCCUACCUAAAGGACGUCCGUUCCACAGAAGAACUCCAUUUGCGAAAAAGAAGGGCAAGAAGAUUGUGAACAGAUAGCUAGCUAAGAUCGAUUGUAUUUAAAUCGUAGCCUUCAUUUCUCGAUUGUAUUUCAUGGGCACUUUUUGAACUAUCAUGAAUAUUUUUAAAUUUCAUGGACACUCGAUCUCGAUCCCCCUCCAUCUUGAUCGCUAUCCCACCUCGCCAGAUCCGGUCCCCCUCGCCGCCGAGCACCCNNNNNNNNNNNNNNNNNNNNNNNNNNNNNNNNNNNNNNNNNNNNNNNNNNNNNNNNNNNNNNNNNNNNNNNNNNNNNNNNNNNNNNNNNNNNNNNNNNNNNNNNNNNNNNNNNNNNNNNNNNNNNNNNNNNNNNNNNNNNNNNNNNNNNNNNNNNNNNNNNNNNNNNNNNNNNNNNNNNNNNNNNNNNNNNNNNNNNNNNNNNNNNNNNNNNNNNNNNNNNNNNNNNNNNNNNNNNNNNNNNNNNNNNNNNNNNNNNNNNNNNNNNNNNNNNNNNNNNNNNNNNNNNNNNNNNNNNNNNNNNNNNNNNNNNNNNNNNNNNNNNNNNNNNNNNNNNNNNNNNNNNNNNNNNNNNNNNNNNNNNNNNNNNNNNNNNNNNNNNNNNNNNNNNNNNNNNNNNNNNNNNNNNNNNNNNNNNNNNNNNNNNNNNNNNNNNNNNNNNNNNNNNNNNNNNNNNNNNNNNNNNNNNNNNNNNNNNNNNNNNNNNNNNNNNNNNNNNNNNNNNNNNNNNNNNNNNNNNNNNNNNNNNNNNNNNNNNNNNNNNNNNNNNNNNNNNNNNNNNNNNNNNNNNNNNNNNNNNNNNNNNNNNNNNNNNNNNNNNNNNNNNNNNNNNNNNNNNNNNNNNNNNNNNNNNNNNNNNNNNNNNNNNNNNNNNNNNNNNNNNNNNNNNNNNNNNNNNNNNNNNNNNNNNNNNNNNNNNNNNNNNNNNNNNNNNNNNNNNNNNNNNNNNNNNNNNNNNNNNNNNNNNNNNNNNNNNNNNNNNCGCCCCGGUGCAUCGGUGAGCUUCCCCCCGUUUUUUCUUUUAGUUUGUGAUUGGGCUGCCUAGAAUGUUUAGGAUGUUAGUUUACUCGUAGAUUUAGAAUCUGUAGCCUGUUUUGAUUUGAACCCAUUUGCUGUGCUAAUUUUGUUUGCAAAUCCGCGUGACGUGUACUGUGUUACGUCUGUGGUAAUCUGUCAAGUCAAUUAAGCCCAAUCCAUUUGGGUUGAAUCGAACUAGUGCUAUUACUAGCCAUCCCACCUUCAUUGUGACACUAGAACAUAUAUACAAGAGAAGGCCUCCCAGCUGAUACGUUCAGCGCAUAUAUACCACUGUUAAAUCCCUUAGCAUUAUCGCAAACUUGUCAAGUCCAUAAACUUGUAACAAGUGGCAAAAGUAGUGCUGUAAAUUGGCAAAGCAGUUUCUGAUUUUGUUUGUUUCCAUCUUGUUGGUACUUGGAACUUGGAAGGGGGACAAGCAGGUGGAGCGGGUGAAGCCAGACCGGAAGAAGUAGGCUGGAGGUGGAGUGAGAAGGGGAAGCAGAGAAAGAAAGGUUUGUUCCAUGUCCUCGGAUGAAGUUCCAUGUUUCGAUGGUCUCUGUGUAGUUUCUGAUGCAGACCGUACAUCCAUCAAAAGCCACAAUGCAAGCCAACUUUUAUUUCUCUUGCCUGGUUCCACUAAGAUGUGUUAUUGCAAGCUAUUAAUUAUUUUUCAGUUGUGAGCCUCGAGAACAGGUGCCUCUCAUCUCCCUGUUCCCCACCCCUCUGUUUGUUAGCCGGAUGGGUGGAUGUUGCUGUUGCAUAUUGAAUAGAUGGACGAAUGGAUUUGUUUUGCUACUGUGAUUGAUAGCUCGUGUUAGUACGUCUCAGAUUUUUGCUACUGUGAACUGUCAAUGGUACUAAAUCAGUGCCCUUUUGCUGCUUGCUGCUUGCUGCUUAGUGCUAGUUGAUAAUUUGGUAAUGCUACCGAUUCUUAGAAAUCGAUGGAUGUACUUUUUCCAGUUUGAUACUGCUACUAAUUUGAUGCUUGCUAUUUUAGGCCGCUGCUUGGUAUGUGCUCUAUAUGCAAGUCAUGCUUUUAUUCAGUUUUUUCUUCAGUUUUGGCCACUAUUGAUCUUUCGUUCGAUCGAACUGAGAGUGGUUUCGUGAGUGGAAAGUGGAAUUGAACAAUCUAGACCUGAAACUGAGGCAGUUUUACACGAGUUUGUUUGUUGGUCUUUUAACCCUAUCAUUUCUCUUGUAGCCAGCAUGUGUGUGCGCUUAAACUUGUUUAGCUAGUAAUUUCCCCCAAUUUGGCCAUUGCAUGUGUAACUUAACUUAGCUUGUCAGAGCAUGCUUCCUCGCGAAGAAGGGGGUCAUGCUGAAAAUUGAAAAAUAUUGUGAGACAUUGGUUGGACUUUGAAUUGGUAUACAGAGAAGGGAGUGCCUGCUUGUAUAUAUUUUACUGUUGCUACCAUGCCAGACUAACAAACUGCCCAAUAUUGUGCCCUUCUGUACUGUUAUUGAGAACAGUUCAUGGUUACUAACGUAAUUCAUUGUUUCGCUGCAGUUGGCAUACAAGUUGUUAUAAAGCCAGAAUAUCGGAUAACCCCUCCUGUAAGUUAUAUGAGUUAUUAUACAAUCACUAGUUUCCUGUUCUCUUAUGCAAGAGCUGUCAAUCUACUUUGCUACCAAAAAAGUUGUAUUAAUGAGUAAUGACUGAGUUCAGUUUUCAUUCUCCAGUGUUAAGAGUGUUGCUCCAAAAAAUGUUGUUUCGUAGUUAAAUGGGUGCCUUUAACUUCUGUGCAUUGGCUGGACAUCAACAUACUACCAUAAGUGUUUUGUUUUCUGUUGCCAGUUAUUCUCCUUGGGAUUGUUGGCAAGAUGCUUGGUAUAUAUAUGUUGUGUUCAGUUUUGGCAGGAGUUCAGAACUGUUAGGCAAAGGUCAUGUCUCCGACCAUCGUGUCCUUUUUUGCCUUGUCCACCCGAGAGGCCCUUGAGUUUGCUAGAAUGUCGAUUAACUUCCGUUCCGGCAAAUUCGGGUACUCCAUAUGUCCUAUUUUCAGCAAAGGUCAUGCUGAAAUUUUCCGUGAAUUUUAGCAUGACUUUGCUAAAAAUAGGACAUAUGGGGUACUUGUGACUAAUGCAUGGGCCGGGGUAUCUUAGUAGUUAAUUAAGUAGGAUCAAGUGCCCCGGCGUACUUGUGACUAAUGCAUGGCUUUUAGGGUGCCUCGGUGUCGAUAAAAACCGAAAUGAUGAAAGCUUAGGCUUUUAGGGUGCCUCGGCGUCGAAAAACCCUCAAUGAUAAAAGCUUAGCUUUUAGGAUGCCUCGGUGUCGACAAACCCUAAAUGAUGAGACCAUGAUCUUGUUCCUUGACAAUAACCAACUUUUUGACCAAACUUUGUUCCUAUUUAUAGAGAAACAUGGCCAACAACGAUGAGGCCGGGGGUUCGGGCGGCAAGAAAUUCUGGGAGCUGUCCCAGGAGAUGGAGGAACAACCUCACUUGUAUGAGGAUGCCGCCUUCCCCACCGAUCCUGAGACCACUGAUGGUACCGCCGAGGAUGACCCCACUGAUGCCACCACUGAUGGUGCCGCCGAGGAUGCCACCACUGAUGAUGGCGGCGCAUGCACAGAUGGCAGCCAACCGAAGAGGCAACGGAAGGACCGGCGCCCGACCAUGCUCCGCACCCUCAAGGAGGAAGUUACUGAAGUGGACUCCAACGGGAAUCCAAAGGUGCCCGAACGAAUAGUCAAGGGGUACUCGCUUCAGCUCGGGUGCAUUCUUCGGAGCACCGUCUCGAUCAACACCGAGAACCUCAGGCAUCCUGACCGAGGGAAUUUGCGCAACCUCCUCUUCACGAAGCUGCACGAACGAUACAAGUUCCCCGCUGAAUUUGAAAACACAAGCCUCAAAGGGAAUAAAGUGAACAAUGUUGCCCUCACGAAGAUGAGCAUGGCCCUGUCUACUUGGAAAAGCAAUGUGAAGAGAAUGAUCGAGAAAGGUGAGAGUUAUGAGAAGAUCAAGGAGAAAAAUCCUUCGAUCACCGAAGAUGACUACAACGACUUCAAGAUCAAUUGCUCGAGCACCGCAAGCUCCGAAUCAAGUAAGUGGGGGAAAGAAAUGCGGGAGCUGGACUUAGGGGAACACACACUCGGUCCCGGCGGUUACAGAGUGGCGGAGCCUAUAUGGGACAAGGAGGAGGCGGACCGUGCCGAGCAAGGCCUACCGCCCCUCUUCGAUAAAUACGGUGACAAGCAGACCAGGAACUUUGUCAGGGCCCGGUACAAGAAGGACCCGAAAACAAAGGAGCUUACCACGGAUCCGAAGACCAGGGCGCUUGAGCUUGUUCUGGUAAGGAAUACACCCCCGCGUAAUUAGCUCCAUAUGGUUGCAUUCUAAUUAAUGAAGCCAAAUUUCUAAAUGGUUCACAUUCCUUUCGCAGGCGACUGAAAGCAAUAGCGCAGGGUCGACUAAAAGCAACCCUUGGGACACCACUCUAAAUAGGGCGUUGAAUGUAAUGAAGAACAAGGAUAAGCUCAGUUAGCCGACAUCAGUUGGUCGUGUGGCCGGCAAAGGCUUGUCGACAAAAUGGUCGUCAUACUAUAACACUGGUGGGCGAAAGGAGAAAAAGACCAGCUCGAAAAGCCAGGCGCGCGAGGUUCAAGAACUCAGGGCACAGGUGGUGCGGAUUCCGGAGAUUGUCCAAGAGCAAGUGCAACAACAACUCGGAGCGACGAUCACCGCCAUUGUGCCUACCUUGAUCCAGGGGAUUAGUGCGUGGAUUGCGGGCGGCCAACAGGGGCCGCCCCCGAUUCCUAGCUUCACGGCCAGCAACUCGCAGAACGCGAUGGCGGCGCCAUUGGUGUCUCUGGCGGAGGCGGCAUUGGUGUCUCCAACGCCGGCACAGGAGCUUAAUGCACCCGGGUGUACGUCGGCCGGCACCUCUACAGCAAGCGGCCCCUCCGUCAACUGCACGCCCGCCGUUGCGGUGCCUCGACAUUAGCCGAGCUCGACGCCAUCAUCAUAGUAACUAAUUAAGCCUCUCUCGGCCGAGGACUUCAUCUCCUUGCCUUUGACUGGGCAUCCCUGACGCCCUACAUGUUUUCGCAGGGCGCCGCCGACGUUCCGUGCACUCUCCUGCACUUCGUGAACAACGAGUUGGUCGAUGUCGCCAAUGGCAAAAUCGUUCAACCGGCAACCCCUUGCUCCACGGUACCCAGAUGCCACCCAACUUGUUUAGGGUUCAACUGGUUCGGGUGCUGCCAGGCUGCGACGAGUUGUUACCUCCGAUUCGACCCGUCGGGGCCGACGAUGAUGACGUGAUGACCCUCAGCACCUACCUGAGCUGGCCCCUGCUUUGACCGAAGAGCCAGAUUCGUUUGGGGGCGGGGGACACCACCCCAAAGACAACACCGCCAGUCGUGCCGGCGCCAAGUCGGCCCCAUGGCAAGACCGCCGCAACGGUGCCGGACAUCCCUAUGCCACUGGAUCCAAACAUGCAUAUGGCACAGGAUCAGAACGACGACGACGACAAUACAUUUGCCAACGUCGAUUAGUACUUUGCCGAUCAUGGGUACGGUGGCGACUUCAUGGGGCCUCCUUCUCAAGAACCCAACUCAACAAAAGACGUGCGCAAUCUAGCUGGUACCGCGGAGAAGCCAAGUUGCAACAGGCGUCGUCUGUAGUUCAGCUCUCAGGAGACGCCUCCAGCUGCCGACUUCACCGAGCCUCAGAUAGGCAAGGUGCGAAAUAUGAUCAGCCCCAACACACUCAAGAAGGCGGUCUGUGAGCAGAACUCGGUCCCAUUACAGGAGAAGAAGAAGGCACGCAAAAGAAAGACUAACAAGGGUGCGGGCCAGCCGGCACCGAGUACGAUCCGUGCUCAGGACGGGCCACCUUCACCUGAGGAUAUCUCGAGGAGGGUGCAUGUGGCGGGUAGGCCGAUGCUACCGAGAAAUAUGCUCGAUGCUGCAACCGGUGCUAUGCGGAGUCUGCAUGACAGUGUUCUUUCUUUGGAGAAGCGGCGUCUCGGAGAGAAGAUGUGGCAUACCCGGUUUUUGCGGCCAAGGUGCCAGAGGGCAAGGGCUUUGUGGAUAACUCCAUCAGGGGUACGAUCGUCAUGCGGUUUGAUGACAUCCACGCUGUGUUGAACCUUCAUCCGCUGCACUACACCUUCGUUCGGCUAUUUUCGCUGAGUAUGGAGAUGCGGAUCAUUCGCGACAAGACCCCAAACAUCGUGAUAGUCGACCCCUUCUACAUGUGUGCCAAGAUCUUGGGCAGCGCUGGGGACCGGCAAGUCGCGAGUUCUUACCUCGAAGGCGUCAUUCUGGCAAACCAAGAUAAGGAUAACUUCCUCGUGCCUUACUUUCCCGAGUAAGUCCUCCCCUCAACCGCCCCGUAACAUAUGAAUUCUUAGAUUUCGAUCGUUUUUCUUUUAACAUUCCGUGUUUUCUGCAGUGACACACGUUGCACGCUCAUCCUCCUAAGCCCCAAAUAUUCCAUGGCCACGUAUUUCGACCCGGACCGUCAGUUGAACGUAGACUACACAAAUGUCAAGAAGGUUCUUGAUGAUGUUCUCCCCGGCUACGUCAAAUCUGGAGGCACCUUCACCAGGCCUAUUCGUAAGUACGGCAAGCACAUGUUCUCCCACAAUACGAUGUUCUGCUGCGUCAAGCAGCCGCCUGGCGGUCAGAAGGGUGCCUACUACGCCAUCCAUCACAUGCGGGCGAUCGUACGGGACCAUCAUCAACUUCUGCUACCGAGUAGACUCAAAGAUUGGGCCGCGAGCGUGUCGGCAAUCCAGGACGCGGACAUCAGACAAGAAUUAUUUCGCAUCCAGUCGGAGUUUGCGGAAAUCAUCCAUCAAGAUGUCCUUCGUACCGCGGGGCAGUUCUACCUCAGAAAUCAACCGUCCAACAGUGACGUCGACACAAUCCUACAAAUGCAGGCUGACAACGCCCGUUCUUUCAUGACUCCCACGAUAGACGGCGGCUUCAUCCACGCUCCGGUCCCUUGAGUCUCAUGUUGUAAUUAAACUUUAAUGAACUUGUAGUAUGUCUCUUUGGUUUUGAGAGUCGUUCAACUUAAGAUGUAAUCGAUGCUAUUAAUGUCUUGCUUUUCUCUUCCGAUCGUUCUGUUGCAUACUUAUAUAUUGCUUAUGUAUUGUCUGUGAAUUGGUACUAACGUUUCGUUUGGCUACUGCAUAGCGAUGCCGUGGUAUGUCGUGUACAAGGGUAAGGUUCCCAGAGUCUACGACGACUGGGAGGAGUGUUGGAGACAGGUUCACCGAUUCAGCGGUAACAGUUACAAAGGGUACGCCACUAGGGCCGAGGCCAAAUCUAGAUACGCCCGCUAUCUAGCGGGAGAGGGGAGGGAGCGUUGGAGGAACCGGAUGAAGACGAGUUUCAUCGUGAUGAUGCUCAUCGUGAUGACCGCAGCUCUCUUCUAUGUGAUGGUAGUUUAGAUGAUCGAUAUCGACUUGUAAUGUGAAGACAAACUCGCGGUCUCGAGACUUGUAAUAUAAUGUUCUAUCUUUGUUCGGUCUUUUCAAUUUGGAGACUAAUAUGAUGACUUGUAUUCGGAGACUAAAAUGAUGAAUUGUAUUCAGAGACUAAUCUUCUAUUGUAUUCGAUGAAUCUAUUGUUGAUGUGUGCUGUCUAUAUUUUGUCCAAUUAUACAUUUUGUAACCUGUGCAAAAAAACAGAAAAUUAAAAAAAAACUAAUAUUCAUACUAAUGGUGCAUCACAUCAUAGUGCGCCAUUAGUAUGCCAAAGGAUACUAAUGGCGCAUCAUUAAAGAGUGCGCCAUUAGUAUGCCGAAGUUACUAAUGGCGCAUCUUGCUGUCGUGCGCCAUUAGUAUGCCAAAGCACCUGGGUAUACAUGGCCCCCUGGGAGGCAUACUAAUGGCGCACUGUUGUAUAUACUAAUGGCGCAUCUGGGGUGCGCCAUUAGUAUACCAGAUACUAAUGGCGCACCUGUGGUGCGCCAUUAGUAAAAUAUACUAAUGGCGUGCUACUAAUGGCGCACCACUAAUGCGCCAUUAAUGGCCAAAUUAGGUGCGCCAUUAGUAGGCCUUUUCCUAGUAGUGACAAGCUCAUUUGCAAAUACGAUUGAUGCUGUUCCCAUCUCAACCAGGCCAUCAAAGGACCUCGUUCCUUUUGAUAAAGAAUAUGUGAUCCCCAGAGGAUCUGAUAAAGAAACUCCUUCUGCUGCUUCGUCUGAACCAUUGGAUGAAGAAAUUGAAGUGGAUGUGAUCCCUUCAACACCUAUCAUCUCCUCGCCUAUGCCUCAGUUCACAGCUGAAGAGGCUGGCGUUGAAGAAAUGGAAGAUGAAGAUGUGGACAUUGGCUGCUCCACACCCUUAAUCAGUGAUGAAUUCUGGGAAAGUCAGCAUCCAAACUCUCCAAUGUUCACCCCUCUACAGCAAAUUCCUCAGUCCCCCACACAAACUGUUCAUAUGGGCUCUGAAGAAACUCAUCCCACUGCAUCUGUCCAUGAGGAAAUUCCAGCCACUAGCACUGAAGAAACUGUUGCUGCUAAACAACCAACGACGCAGACUGCCACUAAGGAGGAACCAGAAAAUUCCUCAGCCUGAAGAACCUGCGAUUGAGAUUCCUGAGGUCGUGAUGCAACUCACUGACACUCCUCUGCCGAAGCCAAAGGAUCCAUUCUCAUGCAAGCAAAAGUUCAAAGCUGAUGAUUUCUUCGGCGAGCACGUAUUCUUCGAAGACUACAACCCAUAUGACUCUGCUCGCAUUAGGAAGAGGCGUUUCUGGACUGCCAGUCAAGCCAAUUUCUAUUCCUCGGUGCUCUUCAACAAGGAGAAGAUUUUCUACCAUGAGCAUAUUCCUCACAUGGAUAUGGAAUCUCUGCCGUGCUUCGCACCAGUCCUGAGUGUUCUUCACGACGCUGGACUGCUCAACUUUUGCUCUGACAUCUGCGAUUAGAAUGAAGAACUGAUUCUUCAAUUCUAUGCAACACUGCACAUCACCGGAGAUGCUGAAGAUGUGAAUUCAUGGGUGCUAGACUGGAUGUCUGAAAACACUCACUACACUGCACCAGCCUCUAAAUUGCUUCGUGCUCUACCACUCAGUCCUCCCCUUGAAGAAGCUCGCUGCAUCUACAGUGAACCUGAGCUCACACAUCACUACAUGCAGGUGCUGAUGAAACCUUUGAAGCCAGGUCAAGCACCAAGAACCAAAUUCCUCGUGAAGGAAUUGAUGUACGUGCCCAGAACUGUCUAUCAUAUUCUUACGAGGACAAUCAGUCCUAUCAAAGGCCACGACUCAUCUAAUGUGGAAAUUGUUGGCAUCAUGAAGAAUCUGGUAUUCAACAUCGUUCAUGGCAUUCCUGUCAAUUAUCAUGAUUUCUUCAUGAGGACUACGGCCAAUGUUGCACUGUCUCCGUUUGAGCUGAAGCCCUAUGCACCUUGGAUCAUGAGAUUCCUCAGGACAAGGUCUUCACUCAACUACAAAGCUGAUUUCCAGAAUCACCUUAGCUACUUGCCCCCAAUUGAAGUCCUCAAGCAGACAUAUUCCUCAGUUGAUGGAAAGGGCAAGGCACCAGCUGUAGUAGAUGAAGGCAUUCGUCCAUUGGAUGGUCAGUUUCGCAAAGCUGCAUCUUAUUCCACCAAUGAUGACUCCGCCACACAUGACUCUGCCAAUGCACCUAAGUCCACUCCUCAAGCCACUGCUCCGCGCGUGAUGACUGACCGUGAACUUCUGCUUAGUCUUCACCAGAAGGUGGAUCGAAAUCACAAAAUGGGUUAAGCUUCAGUUUGGUUCACUUCUUCACAACAUGACUGCCACACACAAUGUAGUGAAGAAAAACCACUACUACCUCCAUCAAGUCUUCGGUCGCACCUGGGCAUUCCUGUCACAUCUAUAUGGUGAAGAAGAUCUGAAGAACAUGGGUCUCAAAGAAGAUUUUGACUGGUCUGCACCUCCACCGAAGAAAUUCAAGAAGGUCCAAGUUCCUUCUCUGGUGACCAGCUCAUUUUCUUUAUCACGCGACACUGAUGAACAUGAAGAUUUGGACGACACUGCGGCAGGCCCUACAUUAACAAACGACCCCAACAACGCUGGCGCUCCUUCAUCAACAUGAUUAUCUUCAGGGGCCUUAGUCCUCAUUUUCGAUCCUUUUGGUCAUUCGAUGACAAAGGGGGAGAAAUAUGAGUUAGUCUUCAAGCGGGUCUACUAUAUGGCGUUUUUUUGCUAAGUUACAACUCUCGUUCUUCUGAAACUUUAUUGGAUCGAGUGGUAAUCUUAAACCCGAUGGUGCUCUGAUACUUUUGAUGCACUGUGCUCUCAUACUUUUGAUGCACUAUUCUGCAUGCUUAUUCCUCGUUAAAUAUUAUUGCACGCAUGCUAAAUUUCAUCAGGCACCAUAUUUCAUCAUGCAUUUCAAAUUCUUCAUAUUAUAUGUUAAAUGCGUGUAUGAAUUACAAGAUAUAAGGGGAGAUCUCCAUGAUUCAACUCUUCAAGUGUGCAUUGCUUCAAAAGCAAAUUCCUCACUAUGCACAUCUUCAGGGGGAGUUCUUCUAUAUCUUGCAAUCAAAUUCCUCAAUAUCAGUAGUUACACUUCAUAUGUUUAUCCCCGUUGAAAACUUAACCUAUAUUGUCAUCAAUCACCAAAAAGGGGGAGAUUGUAAGUGCAUCUAGUGCCCCUUAGUGAUUUUGGUGUAUUGAAGACUUAUAGGUUAAGGGACUAAUCCGUUUGUGAGUGUACACAGGUCUAUAAGUCUAUGAGGAGUUUGAUAUUUACAGGAAAAGUCGACCCCUAAAAAUGAAUAUCUUCGACUGAAGAUUUUGGUAUUUCUGAAGACUUUCAUGAAGACUUUGAAAGUGAAGAAAUUGGUGUGUCCGUGAAGACUUGAUAUUCAUGCGAAGAAUAUGAAGCUUGAAGACUUUCGUUUUCAUAGUUUUGUUUUUCUCUUUCUUGAGUCAUAGGAAACACCGUACUGUUAAAGGGGGUCGAGGAAAUACUAAGGAAAAAUUUCCAUGUGAUGCUCAACUCAAAAUCCUACAUCUACCAAUCCCUUCGAGUGAAGCCAUUGGAAAUCUCAUACAGUUCAGUCAAUUUCUUCAAUGACAGAGACGAAGUUCUUCUGGUCUCUGAGGAAUUUGUCCUGACUGAGGAGUUAGGAAUUCGCCAGUGCAGAUUGCCUACACAGUGAGGAACAUGAUAGCCCUGAGGAUUUUACUACUCAAAAUUCCGACCGUUGUUGUGCUAUGCGCCAGCUGUCCCAAAAUAUCUAUCCACCUAACGGUCAUAUCAUUGAAGGGCAUUUAUGUCUUAUCAUGUCAGGCUGCUCCCUAGGCUAUAAAUAGCCGCCCCCUACAACCACUAGCUGGUUGGCUGCUCCGAGAGAAACUGACACUUGUCAUUUGAGAGCAACCCAUCCUCCAAGGACUUUGAGCGAAAAUCAUCAAGUGAGGAAAAACCAAAAACCCAAAACCCAAACACCUAAAAACCCCAAGUGAUUGAGCAUCACUGAAGAGAUUGAUCCUGAGUGGAUCCGACGCUUGCUACCUUUCAAGACUAUGCUUCUUCCAGACGGUUAGGCGUCAUGGUCUAGAGCAUCCAAGAGGAAUUGUGGAUCGCCGAGUGACCAAGUUUGUGAAGGUUUGGAAGUCGCCUGAAGACUUACCAUGAGUGAUUGGACGAGGUCUGUGUGACCUUAGUUCAAGGAGAAUACGGUGAGUACUGGGUGUCUUGGACUAAGUGUCCUUGACCGGGUGUCCGGGACUGUGUGUCCUCGAGUUUAAAUACUCAGCCGCUCCAACCAAACAUACAACUGAGACAGCAGUUGGAACUGGUCUACCAAAUCAUUGUCUUCAUCAAGCUUACUGGUUCUAUUUCCUCAACUCUUUCAUUUCCUCAUAACUGUGUUGUGUGCUUGUUCAUAUCUGUGUUUGAAGACCUUGACUGAAGACUUUCUCAAUUUCCUCAGUUCAAUUUCUUCAGUCUGUUUGUCUUCAUCCUGUGUUAUCUUGUGAUUACGCUUCCUGUACUCUGUGCCUGUCUUCAUUUCAUCAUGAUGACUAUGCUUGUAUUCUGUUAUGUUUACUUUUGAGUACUUAUUCCGCUCCUAGUAGUUCUUCGCUAAGGAAUUUCCUCACCGGCAAAUUCCUCAGUGAAGAAUUUCAUAAAAAUCGCCUAUUCACCCCCCCAGUCGAUAUAACGCACUUUCACACACCACCCCCGAAAGCAUUGGUAGGUCACCGCUAUCGCCGGCGCCUCCAUCCUCAACCUCUGCCUAUGUGCCCGGGAGCUCGAGUAGCCAAUGGCCAAAAAGAGGUUUAUCACGGCCUUUUUGCCCGACGCCGCGCGAGGUGGCCACCGAGGUGUCCCCGUCAUCCUGUGCGGGCUCGAUUCACCGUCGCCGGUCCCCCGACCCUCCCGCCGCAGCGCCCCUACGCCAGUUCGAGGACUUCCCCGUCCUCCCUUGGACCCGACAGCCAACGAGGUCCUACCUCGGGGUCCAACAGCGGCGGUGGGGACGUGGGUCGACGAGAUUACAGAUCAGGAGACCCACACCCGCUGGUGGCUCGGUAGCUUCCACACGGUCGAGCUCACGGCCAUGGAGUACGACCGCUGGCAGGUCCCCUACCACGACGCAGCGGCUAGGCUCAAUUUGCCCUUCGGCACACGUCCGGUCGACCUUGUUCCGCCGGAGCCAGGGUGGUGAGCUCGUCUAUGGCGCGGGAGGACCGCGAGGUGUGGGAGUGCCUCGAGGCUGAGGCUGACGAUGAGGCCUGCAUGCAAGAGCUCCGCUGGCAGCACCCGGAGCUCGUGGAGGCGGAGCGGGCGAUCUUUGCCGGUGUGGAGGGCGGCGAGGUUAUCGCGCUCUCCUCCGAUGACGAGGUCGAAGGCGGCGAGGACGGCGGCGCUAAGGGUGGCGAGGUUAUCGUGCUGUCCUCCGAUGACGAGCUCAAAGGCGGCGGCGACGGUGGCGCGGAGGGUGUCGAGGUGGGCCCCGAGGACGAGGAGAUCGACGUCGACGAGUGGAGGAGUGCCUUCCCCAACGACCCCGACAACGGCACCGGCCUGGACCCGGCUCGCGGCACACCGUACAUGACGAGGAAGGAUUGGCUCAACCUCUACUUCGACCGAAAGUAGUUUAGCUUAGUUUAAACUUAUGUUUUAUAUUCGGUUAUGCAAAACUAUCUAUGUUUAUGUUUGAAUGCAUGCUACUUUCGGUUGAACCUGCUUUGAACUUGAUCAAAUGGAAGUUUACAACCUUAAGUUUAGGGGAUCGACUAGAAAAGGCCAAAAAUUGCUGGAGUAUAUAUAUAUAUAUAUAUAUAUAUAUAUAUAUAUAUAUAUAUAUAUAUAUAUAUAUAUAUAUAUAUAUAUAUAUAUACUAAGGGUUUUAGUCCUUUAACUUUUUAAGGAUAUGACUUGUUUAUUUCAGUUCUUCACAAUGUGCUGCUCUAUAUGUGCAACUAUUUGUCGUGCAGUUCAAUUUUAUCAAUAACAGUUUCAACAAUACCACUAUGAAUUACGAUAUUUGGUUGAUGUUAAGGAUAUUGCAGUUAACAUGCCCUUUCAUUUUUUUAUCAAUAACUAGUGUACUUUAGACCUGCACAAUACCAGUUUGAAUGACCAUUUGCUUGUUUUUAAAUGUUAUGCCUGUGCAGUUAACACACCUUUCCACUUCUUGUUUUGCUUAACUAGCGUGCUUAAGCCUGCACACUGAAGCUAUCAUUUGUAGAUUAUGUUGUCUACCAGGGAUAUAUUUGGUUGAUGUUUAGCCUGUUGUGCUUAACAUGCCUUUAUAUGUACUCAUGCAGGAAAAUAUUGAGAACAGUGUUGUUUUCCAUUGAGGUUAGUUUCAUUGCAUUGCCUAUAUGUACUCACUGUUCAGGAUAUCGGUAGCUGGUACCAUAUAGCCUGGGGCUGAUAAGGGACUAAUCGUCGAAUCGGACAUUUCACUGAAUAUAUCUGUAGCCCAUUUAUCAGUAGGUUAACUAGGGCCGUAUUUAAUACAUCUAGGGCUACAUAGCAAGAUGCAUUGUACUGAAUGACUAAAUAUGCAAUCCCAGGCUACAUAGCAACAAGGAAGAGUGUUACCUUAAUGUUCUGAUGAUGUCUAGAUAUACAUGUAAUGAAAUCUUAUAUAAUGGGAUGGAGGGAGUGUUGAACUACAUCAUUUUUCAAUUGUUGUUUAGCUUCUAAUAUUAACUUGGUGCUUUUAGGUACAUAUAUCAUUGCCAAAGAUCCACACUUCGACCCUUUCUACGUAUGGGGCAAUGAGAUAUUCAUGAACCAGCAUCAAGUGAGGAAACUGAUAAAGAUUGUUAUUAAAAUGGGUCAAAAGAUGUCAAUCGAACUAUUUGUUUACAAUUUAUGCAAGACAACAGUGAAUUGCAGGAUGGUAAGUAAGAACCCUGUAGCCUUCCUUUUACUGCCUGUAAUGAGUUGUGUUAGAUGAAAAUGUCUGAAUCUUUUUUCUUUUGUAGUGGAUCCUGAAGCAGUUUACUCAAGAUUACCUCUCAAACUACAUGAUUGGCGGCCGGCCAUCACAAGGGGUUGGACUAGAUUCAUGCAUGCCUUUUGCACCUAGGAGAGCACAAUAGGGCCAUUCUGCUUCACCAUGUUCAACAAUCGGAAUGCCUGUCGCCUCUUUCUUUACCAUCUGUAAUAGUAUAAGUAUAGAACCUUGGUUCAUCAUUCUUUAUUUGGUGCUUAUGUAAUUCUUAAACAUAUGUACCUGUGAAUCGAAUAAUGCAUUGGUUGUUUGAACCUGAUGGAUAUGAAUAAAGCUAUAGCCUACUUUCAAGUUUAAAUUAGGUACAAUUUUAAAUAGCAGCAAUUAAAUUAGGGCGAAAUUACGGUGUGCAUGUCAUUACGGCGCACACGGUUAAUAAAGCACAGCGUGUGCGAUAUACAUCAUAAUCCAACACGGUUCACGGAGAGGAAGCGUGUGUAACAAUGCACACAUUACCGUUUGCAAAGCGUGUGUGAUGUCAGACACUAUCACAUAUGGUGCGGGAAAACUAAAUAUGUGUGAUUGUCUACCUAUGUACACGGUUCAUAAUCAUGAACUGUUUGUGAUGUGCCAGGCAUCGUAAAACUCCCGUGCCUGGAAUCUGCUUGGAAUCUGCCUGGAAAGCUCCCGUGCCUGGAAUCUGCUUGGUUUUAGGUAAAACCACAAAACUUCAACUGCGAUGGCAAUGCGAGCACAAACGAGUAGCAAGGAUGAAGCGUUUGGGAUAUUCGAGAUAUCGAAAACGGUUAUAUAGGGACAACUAUAUGCAUCAAGGCUCCCUAUCCCCGACGAUCUCUGGUUCGUGUGGGAAGGACCCCCCUAUCGCCGUCACUCACUAGGCGACGGUUCAAAAUGCCGUCGCGGAAACGGGUUAAAACCGUUUGUAUAGCACUGACACGUACUACUGUGUGCACGACUAUGAACAUACAACUAGUAUUAAAUAGUGGGCACAUCAUCGACAAAUAUGAAGAGAGCAGGGCGGAAGAGCGAAUGAAGUUGAGCUUGUGUAGAACCAAUCAAGAUAAAGAAAGACAGGAAAAAAAUGUAAAUCCAAACAAGGAAAAAUGCAAGAGUUUUUCCCAACAAUCUAAAAUCCCAAAUAUUUAGCUAAAGAUACAUUAAUACAACUAGCACACAGGUCACCCAACCUAGGGUUUACGUUGCCUCCUCCCACGCAGCCGCUAGGCUGUCUCGUCUCCUGUGGCCUUUGGGCCAUGGAGGCGUGAUGGAUCCCAGUCCUUGCCGGCGGGAGUGCUCCAUUUUUAGGUGUUUCUUUGAGUUUUGCUAGCAUUUGUCAUACUUAUGAAGACAUGGCUACGACCGCUCUCUGUAGAUGGGAUAAGUUUCUCGUCGCCUAGCCCCCGCCCCGAUGAUGCUUCUAGUGUCACCGGAGGGCGUGUGGAGGUUUGUCUCGGGUGAAUCUCGUGGGAUUCGGUCCAUGUUUGUCUUCGGUGGAUCCGCUUGGAUCCGAUCUUUGUUCGUCUAUGUUCAUGUGUCUACAUGUUGGAUCCUUCCAAUCUAUGUUUCUUUUCAUUGGCGACGAUUGUUGUUCUGGUGCGCUGGUCCUCUAGGUCUUAGCAUGACGACUUCCCGAUUGUUUAUUGCAACAAGGUUUGCCUCGACUCCAAUGAUGGAGGCGUGAUGACGGUGGUGUGCCUUCGACACGCUCUAGUGCUUGUAGUCGUCGCUGGGUGGUCUAUGGACCCCGGAUGUAAUUUUUACUUCUGGUGUUUUUUUGUACUACCUUGAUAGUUAAUGAACAGAUUGGAUGUUUUUUCCUGCAAAAAAGAUACAUUAAUCCAACUCAAAUCAGAAUGCACAAAAAUCCCAAAAUAAUGUUGGGGACCAGUUCAUGGACAAGGAUGCAUGGAGCCGGCCAUCCAACACCAUCUGCAUACAUCCAGGCCCAAUUUUUUAAGUCCGCACGUUUAAAUAGCUGCAUGUAUAGUCUAGAAUAGUUCAAAUGCUCAAAUAUUACACUCCAACAUUGUUGUCCCCCUUAACCGCCAAGAAAUGCUCAAUCAGAUCUUCCUUUAGUUGCUCGUGAGUUGCUCAAUGUCGAUUUUGUCGAUGCAUUUGAACAAAACUCUUCGACCGUGGUUGGAUUCUGGUCUAGAAGUUCGAUAGGAUCACCCAUGUUCUCAAAUUCAAGAGUUGUCGCAACAUUCUCACCCUCAUCCUCCACGAUCAUGUUGUGCAUGAUCAAACAACAUGUCAUCACCUCCCACAAGGUCUUCAGAUCCCAUUGUUUAGUAGGUCUGCAGACAAAUGUGAAACAUGCCUGCAGAACUCCAAAUGCCCUCUCAACAUUCUUUCUAGCCGCUUCUAGUCUUUGGACAAAGUGAGACUUUUUCUGGCAAUUGUGUUAGAGAUGGUGUUGACAAAGGUAGCCCAUGGAGGAUAGAUAUAUACCAUCAACCAGAUAAUAGCCCAUGUUGUACUCAUGCCCAUUGACAGUAUAGUGCCAAGGAUGAGAUUUUGAUUCGGUCAGCCUAGCAAACAAUGGUGAUCGCUACAACACAUUGUUGUCAUUGUGAGGCCCGGGAAUGCCAAAUAAAGCGUGCAAAAUCCAAAGAUCAUGUGAUGCAACUGCUUCAAGAAUGAUGGUGGGCUUCUUAACAUGACCCUGAUAUUGCCCCUGUAAAGCUUUCGAGUAGUUCUUCCAUUCCUAAUGCAUACAGUUAAGAGAUACGAGCAAACCUGGCCACCCUCUUACUUACGAGAUUGCUAAGAUCCUCUCGGUGUCUACCAUAGUUGGUUCUCUUAGGUACAGAGGUCCAAACACCUCGACCAUGGCAGUUGCAAACCUGACCAUGUCAUCUCCGUAUGUGCUCUCAAACACCCGCAAGUACAUGUCCCACGAAUCAGUGGCAGUGCCAUAUGCAAGCAUUCGUAGUGCGGCCUUGCACUUUUGGUAACCAGAGAACUCAAUCAUUCCCAUGUUCCCUCUUCAUUAUGAAGUAGUCAUCAAAGGACCAGAUGCCAUGGUAGAGACGAUCAAAGAUGCGCAUUCGAAAGCACCGGCAAAAAAUGUCGGCAAAGAGGGCACCAGGGGGCAAAGAAGUCAUUCGUCAAUGUCAAAUGGCUGCACGCCCUGUUGCGAUUGAGCACUCGAUGACCCUUGAUCGAUCCCUUGCAAUUGAGAACACGCUCCUCCGCACGCUCCGCAUCCGUAAGCACCGUCUGCAUCAUUGUUGUCUUACCCGUGUAGUCCUCCUCGUCGAAUGAGCCGUUGGAUGACUCAACAUAAUGCUCAUAUAUGUACUCCACAUCCGAAUGCAUUGCUUCAAAUAAGAAGGGACAAAAAAUAGCUCAGACAAUUCACCGAACAAUUGCCAGGCAUGGUGAGUAUUGUAGGAGCGGAUGGUACCUACACAGCGGUCGGAGGGAAGGUGUGGAACGGUGGCGGAGGAGAAGCGAAUGAAGCCCGGGUGUACCGUUGGAGGUGAUGGGCUCAUUGGGUUCUGGCAGGGGUGUGGCGUGGCGGCCGUGGUGGUGGAGCGGCGGCAAAGGCAAGAGAGAGAAGCUGACAGAGAGAAAAUGGGAGGAUGGAGGCGCGGGAUCGUGGGGUUGGGUUGGCCGGAGGCGUUGGAGUCCUACGUGCUGAAGGAAAUAUGCCCUAGAGGCAAUAAUAAAGUUAUUAUUUAUUUUCUUAUAUCAUGAUAAAUGUUUAUUAUUCAUGCUAGAAUUGUAUUAACCGGAAACAUGAUACAUGUGUGAAUACAUAGACAAACAGAGUGUCACUAGUAUGCCUCUACUUGACUAACUCGUUGAAAGAUGGUUAUGUUUCCUAGCCAUAGACAAAGAGUUGUAAUUUGAUUAAUGGGAUCACAUCAUUAGGAGAAUGAUGUGAUUGACUUGACCCAUUCCGUUAGCUUAGCACUUGAUCGUUUAGUUUGUUGCUAUUGCUUUCCUCAUGAAUUAUACAUGUUCCUAUGACUAUGAGAUUAUGCAACUCCCGUUUACCGGAGGAACACUUUGUGUGCUACCAAACGUCACAACGUAACUGGGUGAUUAUAAAGGUGCUCUACGGGUGUCUCCGAAGGUACUUGUUGGUUGUCGUAUUUCGAGAUUAGGAUUUGUCACUCCAAUUGUCGAAGAGGUAUCUUUGGGCCCACUCAGUAAUGCACAUCACUUAAGCCUUGCAAGCAUUGCAACUAAUGAGUUAGUUGCGGGAUGAUGUGUUACGGAAUGAGUAAAGAGACUUGUCGGUAAUGAGAUUGAACUAGGUAUUGAGAUACCGACGAUCGAAUCUCGGGCAAGUAACAUACCGAUGACAAAGGGAACAACGUAUGUUGUUAUGCGGUUUGACCGAUAAAGAUCUUCAUAGAAUAUGUAGGAGCCAAUAUGAGCAUCCAGGUUCCGCUAUUGGUUAUUGACCAGAGACGUGUCUCGGUCAUGUCUACAUAGUUCUCGAACCUGUAGGGUCCGCACGCUUAAAGUUCAAUGACGGUUAUAUUAUGAGUUUAUGUGUUUUGAUGUACUGAAGGUAGUUCGGAGUCCCGGAUAUGAUCACAGACAUGAUGAGGAGUCUCGAAAUGGUCGAGACAUGAAGAUUGAUAUAUUGGACGACUAUAUUCAGACACCGGAAUGGUUCCGGGAGUUAUCGGAUAUAUACCAGAGUACAGGGGGGUUACUAGACCCCCCCCCCCGGAGGUUAAUGGGCCUCAUGGGCCCAAUUGGUGAAAGAGGAGAGGCGGCCAAGGGGCAGCCGCGCGCCCCUCCCCUCCCAAGUCCGAAUUGGACUAGGAAGGGGGGCGGCGCUCCCCUUCCUCUUUCUCCCUCUUUCUCCUUCUCUCUCCUCUCCUACUCCAACAUGAAAAGGGGGGAGUCCUACUCCCGCUGGGAGUAGGACUCCUCAUGGGGCGCUCCAAGGGUGACCGACCCCCUCCCCCUCCUCUACCCCUUUAUAUACGGGGAGGGAGGCACCCCCUAGAGACACAACAAUUGAUCCCUUGGAUCUCUUAGCCGUGUGCAGUGCCCCCCUCCACCAUAAUCCACCUCAGUCAUAUCGUAGCGGUGCUUAGGCGAAGCCCUGUGUCGGUAGAACAUCAUCAUCGUCACCACGCCGUCGUGCUGAUGGAACUCUCCCUCAAAGCUCGGCUGGAUCAGAGUUCGAGGGACGUCAUCGAGUUGAACUUGUGCAGAACUCGGAGGUGCCAUGUGUUCGGUGCUUGAUCGGCCGGAUCGUGAAGACGCACGACUACAUCAACCACGUUGUGCUAACGCUUUCACUUUCGGUCUACGAGGGUGCGUGGACAACACUCUCCCCUCUCGUUGCUAUUCAUCACCAUGAUCUUGCGUGUGCAUAGGAUUUUUUUGAAAUUACUACAUUCACCAACAGUGGCAUCCGAGCCUGGUUUUAUGUGUUGAUGUUAUAUGCACGAGUAGAACACAGGUGAGUUGUGGGUGAUACAAGUCAUACUGCUUACCAGCAUGUCAUACUUUGGUUCGGCGGUAUUGUUGGAUGAAGCGGCCCUGACCGACAUUACGCGUAUGCUUACGCGAGACUGGUUCUCCCGACGUGCUUUGCACACAGGUGGCUGGCGGGUGUCAGUUUCUCCAACUUUAGUUGAACCGAGUGUGGCUACACCCGGUCCUUGAGAAGGUUAAAACAACAAUAACUUGACGAACUAUCGUUGUGGUUUUGAUGCGUAGGUAAGAACAGUUCUUGCUCAGCCCAUAGCAGCCACGUAAAACUUGCAACAACAAAGUAGAGGACGUCUAACUUGUUUUUGCAGGGCAUGUUGUGAUGUGAUAUGGUCAAGGCAUGAUGUUAUUUUUUUGUUGUAUGAGAUGAUCAUUUUUUGUAACCGAGUUAUUGGCAACUGGCAGGAGCCAUAUGGUUGUCGCUUUAUUGUAUGCAAUGCAAUCGCCCUGUAAUGCUUUACUCUAUCACUAAGCGAUAGCGAUAGUCGUAGAAGCAUAAGUUGGCGAGACGACAACGAUGCUACGAUGGAGAUCAAAGUGUCACGCCGGUGACAAUGGUGAUCAUGACGGUGCUUCGGAGAUGAAGAUCACAAGCCCAAGAUGAUGAUGGCCAUAUCAUAUCACUUAUAUUGAUUGCAUGUGAUGUUUAUCUUUUAUGCAUCUUAUCUUGCUUUGGUUGACGGUAGCAUUAUAAGAUGAUCUCUCACUAAAUUAUCAAGGUAUAAGUGUUCUCCCUGAGUAUGCACCAUUGCGAAAGUUCUUCGUGCUGAGACACCACGUGAUGAUCGGGUGUGAUAGGCUCUACGUUCAAAUACAACGGGUGCAAAACAGUUGCACACGCGGAAUACUUAGGUUAAACUUGACGAGCCUAGUGUAUGCAGAUAUGGCCUCGGAACACUGAGACCCAAAGGUCAAGCGUGAAUCAUAUAGUAGAUAUGAUCAACAUAGUGAUGUUCACCAUUGAAACUACUCCAUCUCACAUGAUGAUCGGACAUGGUUUAGUUGAUCUGGAUCACGUGAUCACUUAGAGGAUUAGAGGGAUGUCUAUCUAAGUGGGAGUUCUUAAGUAAUAUGAUUAAUUAAACUUAAAUUUAUCAUGAACUUAGUACCUAAUAGUUUUUUGCUUGUCUAUGUUGAUUGUAGAUAGAUGGCUCGUGUUGUUGUUUCGUCGAAUUUUAAUGCAUUCCUUGAGAAAGCAAAGUUGAAAAAUGAUGGUAGCAAUUACAUGGACUUGGUCCGUAACUUGAGGAUUAUCCUCAUUGCUGCACAGAAAAAUUACGUCCUGGAAGCACCACUGGGUACCAGGCCUGCUGCAGAUGCUGCUGAUAAUGUUAAGAACAUUUGGCAGAGUAAAGCUGAUGACUACUCAAUAGUUCAGUGUGCCAUGCUUUACGGCUUAGAACCGGGACUUCAACGAUGUUUUGAACGUCAUGGAGCAUAUGAGAUGUUCGAGGAGUUGAAGUUAAUAUUUCAAGCAAAUGCCCAGAUUGAGAGAUACAAAGUCUCCAAUAAGUUCUAUAGCUGCAAGAUGGAGGAGAAUAGUUCUGUCAGUGAACAUAUACUCCAAAUGUCUAGGUAUCAUAAUCACUUGACUCAACUGGGAGUUAAUCUUCCUGUUGAUAGUGUCAUUGACAGAAUUCUUCAAUUACUGCCACCAAGCUACAAAAACUUUGUGAUGAACUAUAAUAUGCAAGGGAUGAAUAAGACAAUUCCCGAGCUCUUCGCGAUGCUAAAGGCUGCAAAGGUAGAAAUCAAAAAGGAGCAUCAAGUGUUGAUGGUCAACAAGACCAUUAGUUUCAUGAAAAAGGGUAAAGGGAAGAAUAAGGGGAACUUCAAGAAGAAUGACAAACAAGUUGCUACUCAAGAGAAGAAACCCAAGUCUGGACCUAAGCCUGAAACUGAGUGCUUCUACUACAAACAGACUGGUCACUGGAAGUGGAACUGCCCCAAGUAUUUGGCGGAUAAGAAGGAUGGCAAGGUGAACAAAGGUAUAUGUGAUAUACAUGUUAUUGAUGUGUACCUUACUAAUGCUCGCAGUAGCACCUGGGUAUUUGAUACUGGUUCUGUUGCUAAUAUUUGCAACUCGAAACAGGGACUACAGAUUAAGCGAAGAUUGGCUAAGGACGAGGUGACGAUGCCCGUGGGAAAUGGUUCCAAAGUCGAUGUGAUCGCAGUCGGCACGCUACCUCUACAUAUACCUUCGGGAUUAGUUUUAGACCUGAAUAAUUAUUAUUUGGUGCCAGCAUUAAGCAUGAACAUUAUAUCUGGAUCUUGUUUGAUGCGAGACGGUUAUUCAUUUAAAUCAGAGAAUAAUGAUUGUUCUAUUUAUAUGAGUAAUAUCUUUUAUGGUCAUGUACCCUUGAAGAGUGGUCUAUUCUUAUUGAAUCUCGAUAGUAGUGAUACACAUAUUCAUAAUAUUGAAGCCAAAAGAUGCAGAGUUGAUGAUGAUAGUGCAACUUAUUUGUGGCACUGCCGUUUAAGUCAUAUUGGUGUAAAGCGCAUGAAGAAGCUCCAUACUGAUGGACUUUUGGAACCACUUGAUUGUGAAUCACUUGGUACUUGCGAACCGUGCCUCAUGGGCAAGAUGACUAAAACGCCGUUCUCCGGAACUAUGGAGCGAGCAACAGAUUUGUUGGAAAUCAUACAUACAGAUGUAUGUGGUCUGAUGAAUGUUGAGGCUCGCGACGGGUAUCAUUAUUUUCUCACAUUCACAGAUGAUUUAAGCAGAUAUGGGUGUAUCUACUUAAUGAAACAUAAGUCUGAAACAUUUGAAAAGUUCAAAGAAUUUCAGAGUGAAGUUGAAAAUCAUCGUAACAAGAAAAUAAAGUUUCUACGAUCUGAUCGUGGAGGAGAAUAUUUGAGUUACGAGUUUGGUCUUCAUUUGAAACAAUGCGGAAUAGUUUCGCAACUCACGCCACCUGGAACACCACAACGUAAUGGUGUGUCCGAAUGUCGUAAUCGUACUUUACUAGAUGUGGUGCGAUAUAUGAUGUCUCUUACUGAUUUAUCGCUAUCAUUUUGGGGUUAUGCUUUAGAGACGGCUGCAUUCACGUUAAAUAGGGCACCAUCGAAAUCCGUUGAGACGACGCCUUAUGAACUAUGGUUUGGCAAGAAACCAAAGAUGUCGUUUCCUAAAGUUUGGGGCUGCGAUGCUUAUGUGAAAAAACUUCAACCUGAUAAGCUCGAACCCAAAUCGGAGAAAUGUGUCUUCAUAGGAUACCCAAAGGAAACUGUUGGGUACACCUUCUAUCACAGAUCUGAAGGCAAAACAUUUGUUGCUAAAUUUGGAUCCUUUCUAGAGAAGGAGUUUCUCUCGAAAGAAGUGAGUGGGAGGAAAUUAGAACUUGAUGAGGUAACUGUACCUGCUCCCUUAUUGGAAAGUAGUUCAUCACAGAAACCGGUUCCUGUGACACCUACACCAAUUAGUGAGAAAGUUAAUGGUGAUGAUCAUGAAACUUCAGAUCAAGUUGUUACUAAACCACGUAGGUCAACCAGAGUAAGAUCCGCACCAGAGUGGUGUAGUAAUCCUGUCCUGGAGGUUAUGUUGCUAGACCAUGACGAACCUACGAACUAUGAAGAAGCGAUGGUGAGCCCAGAUUCCGCAAAAUGGCUCGAGGCCAUGAAAUCUGAGAUGGGAUCCAUGUAUGAGAACAAAGCGUGGACUUUGGUUGACUUGCCCGUUGAUCGGCAAGCCAUUAAAAAUAAAUGGAUCUUCAAGAAGAAGACUGACGCUGAUGGUAAUGUUACUGUCUAUAAAGCUAGACUUGUUGCAAAAGGUUUUCGACAAGUUCAAGGGAUUGACUACGAUGAGACUUUCUCACCCGUAGCGAUGCUUAAGUCUGUCCGAAUCAUGUUAGCAAUUGUUGCAUUUUAUGAUUAUGAAAUUUGGCAAAUGGAUGUCAAAACUACAUUCCUGAAUGGAUUUCUGGGAGAAUAGUUGUAUAUGAUGCAACCGGAAGGUUUUGUCGAUCCAAAGGGAGCUAACAAAGUGUGCAAGCUCCAGCGAUCCAUUUAUGGACUGGUGCAAGCCUCUCGGAGUUGGAAUAAACGUUUUGAUAGUGUGAUCAAAGCAUAUGGUUUUAUACAGACUUUUGGAGAAGACUGUAUUUACAAGAAAGUGAGUGGGAGCUCUGUAGCAUUUCUGAUAUUAUAUGUGGAUGACAUAUUGUUGAUUAGAAAUGAUAUAGAAUUUCUGGAUAGCAUAAAAGGAUAUUUGAAUAAUAGUUUUUCAAUGUAACACCUCGGUAAAGCUGCUUAUAUAUUAGGCAUCAAGAUCUAUAGAGAUAGAUCGAGACGCUUAAUUGGACUUACACAAAGCACAUACCUUGACAAAGUUUUGAAGAAGUUCAAAAUGGAUCAAGCAAAGAAAGGGUUCUUGCCUGUGUUACAAGGUAUGAAGUUGAGUAAGACUCAAUGCCCGACCACUGCAGAAGAUAGAGAGAAAAUGAAAGAUGUUCCCUAUGCUUCAGCCAUAGGCUCUAUCAUGUAUGCAAUGCUGUGUACCAGACCUGAUGUGUGCCUUGCUAUUAGUUUAGCAGGGAGGUACGAAAGUAAUCCAGGAGUGGAUCACUGGACAGCGGUCAUAAACAUCUUGAAAUACCUGAAAAGGACGAAGGAUGUUUUUCUCGUUUAUGCAGGUGACAGAGAGCUCGUCGUAAAUGGUUACGUCGAUGCAAGCUUUGACACUGAUCCGGACGAUUCUAAAUCGCAAAGCAAAUACGUAUUUUUAUUAAAUGGUGGAGUUGUCAGUUGGUGCAGUUCUAAACAAAGCGUCGUAGCGGGGUCUACAUGUGAAGCGGAGUACAUAGCUGCUCCGGAAGCAGCAAAUGAAGGAGUUCAUAUCUGAUCUAGGUGUCAUACCUAGUGCAUCAGGUCCAAUAAAAAUCUUUUGUGACAAUACUGGUGCAAUUGCUUUGGCAAAGGAAUCCAGAUUUCACAAGAGAACCAAGCACAUCAAGAGGUGCUUCAACUCCAUCCGGGAUCAAGUCCAGGUGGGAGACAUAGAGAUUUGCAAGAUACAUACGGAUCUGAAUGUUGCUGACCCGUUGACUAAGCCUCUUCCACGAGCAAAACAUGAUCAACACCAAGGCUCCAUGGGUGUUAGAAUCAUUACUGUGUAAUCUAGAUUAUUGACUCUAGUGCAAGUGGGAGACUGAAGGAAAUAUGCCCUAGAGGCAAUAAUAAAGUUAUUAUUUAUUUCCUUAUAUCAUGAUAAAUGUUUAUUAUUCAUGCUAGAAUUGUAUUAACCGGAAACAUGAUACAUGUGUGAAUACAUAGACAAACAGAGUGUCACUAGUAUGCCUCUACUUGACUAGCUCGUUGAUCAAAGAUGGUUAUGUUUCCUAGCCAUAGACAAAGAGUUGUCAAAUGAUUAAUGGGAUCACAUCAUUAGGAGAAUGAUGUGAUUGACUUGACUCAUUCCGUUAGCUUAGCACUUGAUCGUUUAGUUUGUUGCUAUUGAUUUCUUCAUGACUUAUACAUGUUCCUAUGACUAUGAGAUUAUGCAACUCCUGUUUACCGGAGGAACACUUUGUGUGCUACCAAAUGUCACAAUGUAACUAGGUGAUUAUAAAGGUGCUCUACAGGUGUCUUCGAAGGUACUUGUUGGGUUGGCGUAUUUCGAGAUUAGGAUUUGUCACUCCGAUUGUCGCAGAGGUAUCUCUGGACCCACUCGGUAAUGCACAUCACUUAAGCCUCAAGCAUUGCAACUAAUGAGUUAGUUGCGGGAUGAUGUGUUACGGAACGAGUAAAGAGACUUGACGGUAACGAGAUUUAACUAGGUAUUGAGAUACCGACGAUCGAAUCUCGGGCAAGUAACAUACCGAUGACACAGGGAACAAUGUAUGUUGUUAUGCGGUUUGACCGAUAAAGAUCUUCGUAGAAUAUGUAGGAGCCAAUAUGAGCAUCCAAGUUCCGCUAUUGGUUAUUGACCGGAGACGUGUCUCGGUCAUGUCUACAUAGUUCUCGAACCCGUAGGGUCCGCACACUUAAAGUUCGAUGACAGUUAUAUUAUGAGUUUAUGUGUUUUGAUGUACCGAAGGUAGUUCGGAGUCCCGGAUGUGAUCACGGACAUGACGAGGAGUCUCGAAACGGUCGAGACAUGAAGAUUGAUAUAUUGGACGACUAUAUUCGGACACCGGAAUGGUUCCGGGGGUUAUCAGAUAUAUACCGGAGUACCGGGGGGUUACCGGAACCCCCCGGAGGAUUAAUGGGCCUCAUGGGCCCAAUUGGUGAAAUAGAAGAGUCGGCCAAGGGGCAGGCGCGCGCCCCUCCCCUCCCAAGUCCGAAUUGGACUAGGAAGUGGGGCGGCGCCCCCCCUUUUCUUUCUCCCUCUUUCUCCUUCCCUCUCCUCUCCUACUCCAACAUGAAAAGGGGGGAGUCCUACUCCCAUCGGGAGUAGGACUCCUCAUGGGGCGUGCCAAGGGUGGCCGGCCCCCUCCCCCUCCUCUACUCCUUUAUAUACGGGGAGGGAGGCACCCCCUAGAGGCACAACAAUUGAUCCCUUGGAUCUCUUAGCCGUGUGCGGUGCCCCCCUCCACCAUAAUCCACCUCGGUCAUAUCAUAGCGGUGUUUAGGCGAAGCCCUGCGUCGGUAGAACAUCAUCAUCGUCACCACGCCGUCGUGCUGAUGGAACUCUCCCUCAAAGCUCGGCUGGAUCGGAGUUCGAGGAACGUCAUCAAGUUAAACGUGUGCAGAACUCGAAGGUGUCGUGCGUUCGGUGCUUGAUCGGUCGGAUCGUGAAGACGUAUGACUACAGCAACCGCGUUGUGCUAAUGCUUCCGCUUUCGGUCUACGAGGGUACGUGGACAACACUCUCCCCUCUCGUUGCUAUGCAUCACCAUGAUCUUGCGUGUGCGUAGGAUUUUUUUUGAAAUUACUACGUUCCCCAACACGUGGUUGUUGUUUGGACUCCCGCAAAGCUCUUGGUUUAUCUCAAGCUUGUCGAAAAAAGUACGUCUGGACCGCUCGACGGACUGAUACAUGCCCGCGUUGGACGGCUAAACACGCCUGAACCGACGGUUGCAGGCUGUUUGAUGGUUCGCUUUGGAGAUGCCCUAAAAGCGUCGCCUUCUCUUCUCUUUCGUGCAUAGAUCAACCGAUAUAUCGUGACAUACUAGGUAUUUUACAUAUCACACGUUUUGUACGAGACACGACUAUAGCGCGUCAUUACUUCUCACGCCAAACAAUAGCAACCGCUCGAUGCGACAAUCCCGUAAUCACGCCUCACCCCUCUCUGUACAUAUAUUCAUCGAACCGUCGUCUUCCAUCUCUCGCCACAAUCCUUCUCCUCGUUAGUGUUAUUUUCGCCUUUCGCCCCCUCCACCUUAUCUUCUUCGACGACUUCAAGAUCGAUUGUCACUUCCAGUUGGCGGAGUGCCGCCGUGAUGCCAAGGCGGCACCGCCCCGCCGUGGCUCGCACUUCCACCCCCAUGGUUGCAUCUUAUGCCCCCUCUUUUUUGGGAAAGAAAAACAAAAUUUUGACCUUUCUUAUUGUUGAUUGAUGUGCAGGAUGGUCGAAAAUCUAGCGGAAAUUGCCAAAUCGGCCAGAGCGAGAGGCGUGGCAAUCGUCGGAGCGCCCGCUCCAAGCAACCUUCCACCCCCAUGGUUUGCAUCUUGUGCCCCUUGUUUUUGAGGAAAGAAAUUCACAUUUUUGCCCCUUGUUAUUGUUGAUUGAUGGUUUGGUGUGCAGGAGGGGCUAAAACCUAGGAAAAAUUGCCAAAUCGGCCAGAGCGAGGGGCGUGGCAACCAUCGGGCCGCCGGAUCCAAGCAAGCGACGGCCGAGAUCUCCCCAGGGUGCUGCGUGCACUGCCCCGCGGCGGCGGCGGCUCCGGCUCGGACGCAAGGCCGCCCAAAAGCGGAGCAGGAUCGCCCCCGACGCGUCCGUGGGCAAAAUUGGCAGGCCGCGCCCGCGCCGAAGUGGCCCAAACCCCCCCAUAAAUCGCCCGCCGAUUCCAAACACCGCUCCACUCCACCACCCCCUCGCAAGGCCGAGCCACAGAGAGCCGCACCGAAAUCGCGUCCCGUCGUGCAAAGGGAGCGGGGGGUUGGGAGCGGGACAAAUCUCCCUCGUCAGCACCUCCACCACCACCGUCCACCGCCACCCCGCUCUCGCCCCCUCCAGCCUCGCCCCUCGCGUGGGAGGGACGCCGUGUCCUCCUGCCCCCACCGCGCCGCGCGGGGAAACCCUAGCGGCUGCAGAUCUCCGGGCAGGCGCCCCGAUCCGGGCGGCCCGCGCCCCGAUUCGGCCCUCCCGGCGCCUCAAAUGGCGGCGGACGGGGCGGACAGCGACCUUGAGGAGCAACUCAAGGAUGUCGGCGCCCGCCUGCAGGAGGCGCCCGACGACUCCGACGGCCUGCUCAAGCUCCUCUACGUGAGCCUUCUCUCUCAACUUUGUGUGUUUAUCUUAUUUGGUUUUCUGUGUCCGUUACGGCUGCCUGUAGGGUUUGUCGUCGUGGUUGCAUCUAUGGCUUUCGGAUGAUUGUAAUAAGCUUUAUGUUUACCUAGUCGCUGCUUCUCUUGAUUUUGUCUAAUUCUUGGUCCUGGCAUAAAAGGAGAGUGUUUUCAGUCAUUGGUAGAGCGUCAUCUAUUGUUGGGUACUUAUAUGUACAUGAUUAUGUAUCUAUUGUUAGAUAGAGGUGUUAGCUUCCUUGAAAUACACCCUGCUCUUCAGAAUUGGAGUAACUGCCGAGUCUGAUUAUGUCAGCGGCCAUUAUAGCUUAAACUUGCUCAUGUGAUUUAACAAGUUGAUCUUUUUCUAUAUGCAGGACGUCGAGAAAUAUCUGUUGAGAGUGGAGCAAUCACCUGCAGCAAGCACAUUUGCUGCUGUUCGCCCAGCAAUGGAUGCCCUGAUCAAGAACGAACUUUUGACUCACCCUAAUGCCGAGGUCAAACUUGCUAUAGCAUCUUGUAUAUCUGAGGUUACAAGGAUCACUGCACCCGAGGCUCCGUAUGAUGACAAUAUUAUGAGGGUACUGUGUCUUUCCUGAUUAUAAGAUUUAUUUAUUCUCUACCCUGUAUCCUGACCUGUGCUGUCUACUUUGUCAGGAUUUGUUUUCCAUAAUUGUGGGGACUUUUCAGAAUUUAGAUGAUAUUGAGAGCCCGUCCUUUGCAAGGAGGAUUUCAAUUCUCGAGACUGUGGCAAAGGUCCGGUCGUGUGUGGUCAUGUUAGACCUUGAGUUGGAUGAUCUGAUUCUGCAGAUGUUUAACCAUUUUUUCACAACUGUGACGUAAGAAGCCACUUCUCGUUAUUCACCUUAAGUUUAUCUAUUACUACUUCUUGCUAGUUUCUGGGUAUGUUUACUAAGUUUUGCUAAGCUAUGUUGCUAUUCUCCUGACAUGUCUAAGGUGUUAUUUUACUUGCCUAAAAUGUUUUUUCUUUUCUUGUUAUGUGUUCUUAAUGGACAAAUUCUUAGAUAAUAUGCUGUACCUGCUAUGUACCCUUUUUCUUAACAAUCUAGCAGAAUUAUCAGAUCCUGGUAUCUUAUUCAAUGUUUUUGCUAAAAGAAGAUUAUAACUUUAUUUAUUUAAACUCAUUAAACUCACACCAAGCUGCCAAUAUUAUAGCGGUUGUUGCUUUGCAAGUUGCUAGCAUUGCCUUUUUAUGUUGGAAAAUGCUGCAUUCCCCUUCCUGGUAAUUGUAAUAGUUGUUAAAAGAGAUGCACUUUCUUUUACAUUGAUAUGUUUGUUCAAUUAAAUUAACAUGAUGAUGGUACGUGAGACAUUAUCAUUUUAGAUGUACCCACCGUAUUUUUCUGGACUUGAUUCUAAUGGAAAUUACCUUUUGUCAUCCUGUGUUCAGAUCAAACCAACCAGAAAUUGUCAUAUCAUCUAUGGUAACAACAAUGAAACUUGUAAUAGAUGAGAGUGAAGAAAUACAGACAGCGCUUGCAUCGUAUCUUCUUCAAAAGGCUAGAAAUGAGGAGAGGGUAUAUCAUUUCAACUUUCUUCAUGCCGAUAAUAUGGAUUUACCUUGCCCAAGCAAGGAGGGAGGUUCACAUAUACUAAUUUUUUUUGUUUUUUGUUCCCAGGAAACGUCUCCAGCAUCUUUUGAACUUGCAGAGAAGGUGAUCAGCUCAUGUGAAGAUGGGAAGCUAAAACCAAUAUUCCUGCAGUUACUUCAAGUUCAAGGCACUCCCUUGGAUGACUACAGCAAAAUUGUCACGCUGGUUUGUGAAGGUGAUAAGGUUGUCAGGGAAGACAACAAUGUUGAUCCUUCUGGAAAGGACACGGUCAGUAAUAUUACUUGCAUGUCGUAACUAUUAUUAUAGGUGUAAAUCAUCAUGCUUAUAAUAAUAUCUUAGUAUGUUGUCUGAUGUGUCUGUAAUUCAUAAAUGCUCUCAGUUCUCUUGAAUAGACUGAGAGGGGUCACAUGGAUGAUGAAACUGUGAUUUGUUUUAGCAUGUACGAUGAAUUUAACAGCCUGAUCUGAGUAAUACUUAACAAAUAAUUCAUUUGAUCCCUGAAAAGGAUAAUAUGUUGGCUGUAUGGUGUUUGUGUGGAUGCACCUGUUCAUACCUUUGAGUUUUCACAUUCAGGUGGAUGAUGGCAAACUUUCGGAAAGGACUAUUUCUGAUGAACUGCCUCAGGUAUGUUUCUAUACCCAUGGAAGGGGAUCCCUUGUUGAAAUGAUUGAUAGUACAGCAACACAUCUCUAUUUCCAGGAAUCUUCAAAACUGGAGCAAGAUGGUACUCCGACUACUGCUAUUAGUAGUGGUGCAACUCUGGUUGAUCAUGGUGAGGCUAAUCAAGGACCAUUUUCUCCAAAAGGACAAGCGUCUCCAAAGGGAUCAGCGUCUCCAAAGGGAUCAGCGUCUCCAAAGGGACCAGUGUCUCCAAAAGGACCGGUGUCACCAAAAGGAUCAGCGUCACCAAAAGGGAAGCCUGAACAGCCUGAAGACACAAAAGAUGCUGAUCAGUUGAAAUCUGCUAAUGAUGGUGUAGAACCUGUUGAUGCAAAGCCCAAGAAGCCAUCUGAUCUUGAUUCAGACAAAGACCUGAAGCUCAAACCCUGCAAGUCUGUGGCUACUCCACACUCUAAUGUUGAUGUUGACAAAGAAGCUCAUGUAGUAUCUGGAGAGUUAUCUGCAGACAAGAAGGUAGUCAAUGGAGUGGCUGAUAAUGUACCAAAGCGUGCUGAUACCACACCCGAUGUAGUUAAGCCAAAACGAGGCCGACCUCCUGGACCAAAGUCAUCAGAGAAAAAGGCUGCUAGAAAUAACCAAUCUUCAGAUUUAGAUUUGAAGAAGACUGAGGAGGCUAUGGAUUCAACUGGGAAGUUAACAAAGCGAUCAGCUAAGGAUGAUAUCAAAGCUUCCACAAAAAAGACUGGUGAAGGAGAAUCAUCAAAGAAGCAGCAAAAACCCAGUUUGAAACAGCACAAGGAAGAAGUCCUCUCUGAGGAGGACACCACCAAGGAUAUGACUCUAAAGGUUAUUUUCUUACCAGUUGUUGAUUUUUGUACACAUAUUCACGGCGUCUGCUGUUAACAGUUCUUUGCCUGCAUUAUCCGAUCUUUAUAAAUUUCUGUGAAUUUAUAUUUUUGUGUAUCCUGCAACUUUAAUUUCAUGUAUGUUCCUCAAAACUGUCCUUUACUAAUAUAAUUAAAUUACCUGUACUUAAGUUAAUGCUAGUAUAUCAUAUCAGUAAUUUGUUGUGGUUCAAUGGCUGAUAUGAUAUGCUCUCUUUGCUGGAAGUUCUAAUCUAGAGCUCAGUGGCAUGAGAAAUCAGCAAUUCAUAUGACUCUUCAACUUGAAUUUAGUAAAUGUGAUAUCAUACUUUAGUUGUUCAUAACAGUCUGAUUCAUAUACCAAUUGUUUCAUUGCAAUACAGGAAAUGGUCUCUCCGAAGUCUCUGACCAAGGGGUCAGGUAGAACCAAGGGUCAAAGUGGGGAGAAUAAUGUGGUGAAGAGGAAGCGUGAACAAGAUACUGAAGAGGUAUUCAUUCUUAGUCACAUGUGCAAAUGGAACUAUCAUAAUCCACCGCAAUUCCAAACACAGCUUAUGUUUGUUUUAUCCAAAUGAUAUGAUACUUAAACCUUUUACGCUCUUGUUAGACUCCUCGCUCAAGGAAGGACAAAGGUCUGGAUGGAAGUCUAGUUGGUUCAAGGAUCAAAGUAUGGUGGCCAGACGAUGAGAUGUAAGUGGGGGUGAAUAUUGCAUGCGUCUGGAAUGUAGCCUGUCCUUAAGAUGAUCAAUUCCUGGAUUCUCCAAUUGUAGAAGGCUUAGUCGUUGUUACUAGUACACUGUUAACCCAAAUGAAAUAGUUGUAGAGAUACUACAUGCCAUUAUUAGCUCAGUUCUUAUGACUACAGUAUGCCUUGUUAUGUUGAACACUUCUAAAUCUACAGCAUAGAUGCUUCGACUUCCUUUCAUCAAAUGACACACAUAAAUUAAUAUUCUCGUUCAGAUUUUGGAAAGUCUGUUUGCUGUUUAAACUUGAGCCAUCUCGGCUCGUUGUUGAUGGAUCUACCUGGCUGAUGCAUUUUGGUGCCCUGCUAUUUUGCUAUUCAUUUUAGAUUAGGUUUUGAAAGCCUUUAUUUAUAUUUGCAGGUUUUACAAGGGUGUUGUUGACUCAUUUGAUACCCAUUCCAAAAGGCACAAGGUCAGUACACUGUUUUAUCUCCCUGCAGUGGCUAUUUGGUUUACAUGGAGCACUAAUUUUGAUUCAAAGUCCAUUGUUCAAUUUCUUUUUUCCUUUUCUCUUUUGGCUCUCGUGCUUUUUGGAGCAUAGGUUGCAUAUGAUGAUGGAGAUGUAGAGGUACUGCUGCUUAGGGAUGAAAAAUGGGAUUUCAUCAGUGAGGUAUGCACAUGUUAUUCACCUCAUGAUAAUGUUAGGACAAUGUUUUAUUCCCUUGUUUCUGAGUAACUGUUAUUUUUGCAGGAAGAAGGCAAAACUCCUGAUGUACCAUCUGAGUAAGUAAAAUCAUUUUCAUCAUUCUUGUAUACCUGCAGCUUCCAAAUUGCCUGUCUAAUUUGCCAGUAGCUAAAUUGAUUCAUGCAAUCCUAUUGUAUUGAGAACCAAUAUGCACAAGUGCACUUAAAGCGGCUAAUAACUCAAACCUGACAGGGUCACUAUUGUAGGCGUUGAUGUCACUAUGUUGAGAAUACUGCUCAUAUGCAUAAUUUCAUUAAAUCUAACCAAGCUUCGCGGGCAUGGUGCAAGUUCUUAUAUUCACUUAUAUAGAACCUGAUUCCUGUCUAUCGUGUCUAUCAAUGCUGAGCAUUUGUUAUUCUGUGUUGAUUUGAUAGUAUCACUCCAGUGCUAGCGGACUUCGCGAAGUCGACUAACAAUACAGUGUAUAGUGGAUGCGGUACUGGCAGCAUGAUAAUCAGAUUACAAAUCUUCCAUUGUGGAAUUGCUAUCGAUUUCAGUAAAAUCUUAAACAAUCAGGGAAAGUUUUGUCCUUGGCCAAUUGAAACCACAAACCUAGCUCACCUUACUAACGGCCAGUGGCCCCAGUUCUGAGCACUGUUAAUUUUGAUGUGUUUGACCAAAGCUAGAUAUGUUGUUGUGCACUGCCCUAAUCCCAAGGAGGUCAUUUGUUAAAUUCGUGUUACUGAUUUCUCCAAGCAGGCGCCGUGGCCGAAAAGGGAGAGGAAUCACGCUGCUGCCAGUGAAGGAAGAAAAAAUAGAAACACCUAAAAGGUUAGUAAUGGACACAUAUAGAAGAAGCCUUAUUUCUGAGACUUGUUUGUGUAGAGCUCAUCUGAGACAUGUUUUUCUCAUGGUGGCAGUGACGGAGUGGAGCUUCCAAAGAAAAGGGGCCGUCCGAAAGGUUGGCGCCCCAACAAUGGUGGCACACCGUCUACAACUCCCAGCAAAUCAAAGGGGAAAACUGCUGUCAAGGAUGCCAAGGGGACACCUAAAACUGCUGUUGAGAUUAAGAAAGAAGGCAAGGAGAAAGCCACUGGAUCAGCUAACAAGACGAAGGAUGAUUUAGCUAAAGACAGCAGCAACCAGAAGCUGAAGGAGGUUGGGAGCAAAUCUGGCGAUGGAUCUGUGAAGGGUAGGCCUGGGCGGAAACCAAAAAGCGCUGCCACUAGUACUCCAGUGGCGGGUAGUGGAUCUGGAUCUGUUCAAGAGAAGCGGAAGGAGAAGGAGGAGAAGGAAGAGGCUGAGGCAUCUGAAAUGGAGCAGGAGGCAUCUGGCAAGGGGGCGUCUUCAACUGGAAAGAAGCGCAGAAGGAAGGCUUAGGCUUGAACCAACCAACCAACCAACCGUGAACUUCCCCUGUAAAUGGGUUCGCUCUCAUCAUGGCACCGUUGUAUGGAUUGUAAACUCCUUGGUCGUCUUUGUUUUUUACCUUACCUAUUGAAUUUGUCUGUCUGCUGACUGGGCACCAUUGUCAUUGUCCGUGUCUGUUGUAGUUAGGGGGCUGUGGCUGUGGCAGGAAACAUCUGCAGUAGCUGUAAUGUUUAGUCGUGACUUUGUGUUGUGGGAUGCAUGAUGUGAUGCUGCAGAGCCUCAAGGGAACAUCUAGUUUGUGUCGGAUGUUGUUGUAGCCAGCUUAUUCAUGUUCUAUUUAUAUAGGCUAUAUAUUUGGUCAUCGACUCGCGCUUUUUUCUGGCAGAUGUGCCGGUUUCUUUUCUUUGUCUAUCCUUUGUG